rnacentral:lncRNA from 1 species
AGGCCACGGCAUCGGCGGUGGAUUCGGUAAAGGCGGAGGUCUUGGCGGCGGCAUCGGCAACGGUGGAGGACUCGGUGGUGGUGCCGGUGGCGGGUAUGGCAAUGGUGGUGGUCUUGGAAAUGGAGGCGGGCUCGGAGGCGGCAUCGGCCAUGGACUCGGUGGUGGCAUUGGAAAGGGUGGGGGUCUCGGUGGCGGCUUUGGCAAAGGUGGUGGACUAGGGGGCGGCUUUGGCGGUGGAGACGGCGGAGGCGGCGGUUUUGGCGGAGGCUUUGGCAAGGGAGGCGGAUUCGGUUUCGGGAUCGGCAAAGGUGGCGGUGGCGGGAUCGGCGGCGGCCACUGAUGUUGCAGUAUGUACGUUUGGCUCAGCUCUGUUCUGCUGAGGGCCGUUGGUCGUCAUAGUAUUCUGUCGAUGUGAGCAGUACGUGUGAUGAAACAUAUUUUUCCCUUGUAGAAUCUCACCACUAGUAUUUUCUUGUGUCUCCUGUUCUCUCAGGGAGACGUAUUCUCGCGCAUGUACGUUGGUGAUGGAACUGAUGGUAAUAUAUGAGCAUCUUGUAUGUCUUGGUCCAUGCCAGUGUAUGUUCCAGUGAUUUUGAAAUAUAAAUUUGGUACAAGUAAAUAAAACUUCAGAAGCUACCUGCAAGUGUUCAAAGUUCAGGAUGUUCAGAACAGAGCAAGCAUAGUAAGAAGGAACGACAUGCAAUGCAAAAGCUUACGGCGGCUGCUCAACCGGCUGACGGCCUAAAAUCUCUACUCAGUGUCCGGACUCCAGAACUCCAGAUUGUGUGUAGUUUGCGCCUGAGAGUGCUCAACAUGUAAACAGUGUUUAAUCACUGUAAACCAAACUUGGGCACGUGUUCUUCGGUAUAAAGUGCAGUGCGAGGGUGGAUGGGAGGCGAAGCUAUGGAAAAUCUCAAAAGUACCUUUCUACAUCUGAGCUCAUAUGUUCCUGGUGUGAACAGUAAAAUUAAUAAAAUAAAAUAAUAUUUCAAAAAUUUCUGAAUUUUUUGUGGCAUACUUUCAGAAAUGUUUGUUGUGCAUACAAUAUUUCAUCAUGAAAUCACAUUGGUCGAAGCCGUUGCGAAAAAAACAAAAUCAAAGCUCCAAAAUGUGUUUGUAAGUAACAUUUUUAAAGCGUCGAUUUUAUUUUUUUUACCACGCCUUCCAUCAAUGUCAUUUCAUGAUGAAAGUUUGAAUGCACAACAAACAUUUUUUAAAGUAUGCCACAAAGAAAUUGAAUUGUUUUUGAAAUAUAUUUUUAUUUUUUUAUCUUACUAUUCACACCAGGAGCAUGUGAAUUUACUAGUACAUCGUUCAGACUAUUUCUUUCCGUUCUUAUUUCUUUUCUGUCGUAGUGCAGCAUGUAUCUUGUACCAAUCAAUUUACUAGAUCCAUCCUCCAGUGCUCUAGUGCCCCCUCGUUUGGCUGAUAAUCCGGUACAGGUCUUGUCAAUGCUGACAUAACGUGUAGUACUCUCUUCAAUCCUUUUUAGUCUGCAUAUAAGUUUUGUCCGAAGUCAAAGUAUCUCUACUUUGACCAAAUUUAUAGGAAAAAAUAUCAACAUUGACAUUGCUUAAUCAAUAUUUUUAGAUUCAUUAUGAAAUGUAGUUGGAUGGUAUAUAUAUAUUUGGUAUUGUAGAUGUUGAUAUUUUUUAAUAUAAAUUUAGUCAAACUUUGCAAUGUUUGACUUGACAGAAAUCUAAUACGCGGAAUAAAAAGGACCGGAGGGAGUAGCUGUUUCGGGUUGUUGACUAGCGGGUCGAGUACCUGUUUCCAUAGCUGAGUGAGUCUCAGAGCGGAACAUCUGGGCGUUACGAGAGUCCCAGAGCUUCCAAAGGAUGGCGAGGGCGGCCGUNNNNNNNNNNNNNNNNNNNNNNNNNNNNNNNNNNNNNNNNNNNNNNNNNNNNNNNNNNNNNNNNNNNNNNNNNNNNNNNNNNNNNNNNNNNNNNNNNNNNNNNNNNNNNNNNNNNNNNNNNNNNNNNNNNNNNNNNNNNNNNNNNNNNNNNNNNNNNNNNNNNNNNNNNNNNNNNNNNNNNNNNNNNNNNNNNNNNNNNNNNNNNNNNNNNNNNNNNNNNNNNNNNNNNNNNNNNNNNNNNNNNNNNNNNNNNNNNNNNNNNNNNNNNNNNNNNNNNNNNNNNNNNNNNNNNNNNNNNNNNNNNNNNNNNNNNNNNNNNNNNNNNNNGCAUGUGAAGUCCAAGGAGAUGCCACACCUGGACCGCCCGAGGGCGGGAGAGGGCAAGGUGGGACGUGUCCUCGAGGUUAUGGGCACACCUCGGGCAAAGAGAGUCGGGGACAAUGGUCUUGCGGUGCAGAUUCGCCUUGAUGUUUAGCCCAUCCCUGAAAAGCAGCCAAGCAAAUUUUUUUACCUUGAUGGUGGCCCUUGAGCUCCAAAUGCGGUCGACGUGAGGGUUGAACUUGUUGGCGGAGGAGAGCAGCUAGUAAGCGCACCGCGCAAAGAACGCGACACGUGGGUGAGGGACCUGUCGUCGGGGUGAACUGUGGGAGCAACAUCCUGCAACAAGGUUAAACAUAUCAGUCUUGCUAAGUCUCAGUCAUCUGAGACUUCGUUAUGUCUCAGUUGAUGCUAUAUUCCUUUGAUCUUGCAUUGAGAUUCAUAUAAAAUUUUCUUUUCGUUUUUUUCUUUUUUCUUCUUAUAUCUACACCUACUAAUAAAGCAAGGUUCAUUUCUAUGAUUUUUUCAUCUGUUAACCACCAAACGAUUUUUGUUCUAUCCAAGGUGUUACUAAACUUUUGUGCAUCCAUCUGCUAAAAAAAUAGUUUUGUCCAGAAUUUUGUACAUGGGUCGCGCACGCUGUAGCCCAGCAAAACCAGCCCAUUUUUUUCCUGCCCAUGCAUCUGAGAAACAUUAUUUACCGCAUGUGGCGGCAAAUAGUCAGAGUUUCGCAUAGGGCGCCAAAGAUUGGGCCGACCCAUUUUUGUUUUUUCUCUAUACUGUUUCUAUUUUUCUUUUCUCUUUAUUUUUUACUUUUUUCCUUUCCAAUUUUAUUUUUAUUUUCCCUUUUUUUAUAAAUUCAACUCUUCAUUUUUUUCAGAAUUCCAACUUUUGCUUAAAUUUUUGCUAAAAUCAGAAGAAUUUCAAAAUUUUGUUCCCAUUUUGAAAUAUGUUUGAAACUUUAAAUUGCUUCUUCUCGUUCCAAAUUCUUUUCAAAACUAAACAAAUGUUUGAAUUUUUCAAAAAAUGUUUAUGUUUUCCAAAAAAAUCGAUAUUUUCAAAAUAAAUUGUAUUUUAAAAAGUUAUACAAAUAUGAAAAUAUUCACGUUUAUUUAAGUAUUCAAAAAUUUCUAGUAAUGUUUGUGUUGAAAAAACGCUUUUCAAAAAAUUGUUUUCAAUGUUCAAAACAUGUUUCCAUUUCCAAAAUUGUUGACAAAUUCAAAAAAGUCGGUUUCUUAGAAAUUUGUUUUCAAUGUUAAUACAUGUUUCCAUUUCUAAAAUUAUUCACACAUUUAAAAUGUUCAAAAUUGUUUUCAAAAAAUGUUUGUGAAUUUCAAAAAAACCAUUUCAAGUUUGGUUCGUCUUUUUUCCAAAAGUUAAUGAAAUUUUCAAAAAAUGCUGACAUUUUUUGGGAAAAGAAUCAUCACUUUAUUUUUUUUAAAUUCAAAAAAAUUCAAAAAAUCAAAAAUGUUUUUGAACGUGACGCUACAUUAUGUUCUUAAACAUUCGCGUUGGCCAUUUAUUAGCAGGAGCUAUUUGUUCAAAUGGCUAGCAGUACGUGGUCGACUUUUUGAGGUUGUGAGUCUAAUCCUUCAACUCAUCCGUUGUUUUGGAUUUUUAUUCGUAUCUUACAAACACAUGUCGUUUUGGUAACUGCCAGUGGUCUAGCCCAAACGCGAACUAUUGUGCAUCCCACGUGUCAUUUGACGAUAGAAGAAAAUAUGUUGGUUGACUAUAAUUAAAAGAGAUUGUAAGCACAUGCUAAUAAAAAAGAUAUGCUGAUUUGGCUCUGAUUAAAAAAAUGUAGGCAAGUGACCGCUAAAAUAAUUAAUGAGAAGAAACCCUGGUAAAGCAGGGACUACCUUGGUUUGCGCUGAUUAUGGCAAUGAAAUAUGAUUCGCUGCAAUUAGUAAUCCAUCUGGUUACGCCAUCGCAGGAGAGAUUGGUCAAAGCAACUAUGCCCCCAAAGGUCCCCAUGCAGCCACAAAAUGAGGAGGCAACCACAACCUAGGCACGGAGGCCGACCCGAAGGGAAAAAUGGCACGGGUUGAGCGGUGGCCACCAUCCCGACCAACACCACCACUAUGAAGAUCUCGCGGGCCAAACAUGACACGUGAGAGCAACUUGGUUCGCUCAUCCUUUGUAUCUUAGGACAUAUCUUCUUACAGAGAACCAUCAUUCUAUGCAAAAUAUUAUUUAUGCUUUGCUCAAUAUGAAUCACCCUUAAUACAUCGAUCCCAAACAUUUUCAACUUCUUAUGGUGCAUUUGGAAAUCAAGAAAUGAUUGUCUUUUUGCUAGGAAAUGUACUUUCCCUCAUCAGGUACAUCUUGCUGCGCUAGCCAUGGCUGAAUGCAACACUGUCCAAGAGGCUCCUCCUGACAAUCCUAAUUCUGCUCUCCAUGCUCAUAUUAACAGAGACAACAGUUUGGUGCUACAAUAGGGCUGCACCAUUAGGUCUGAUCUUCUAAUCUCAGGAGCCAAAAAAUUCUCUGAUGCUUUUUCCAAAUGUUCAAAAAUUCCAGGUUUAUCAAAUGGAGACGUAGCUAUGGGCAUUGGAGUUUUUCUCAAUUAGAAGUUUUUGCAGGACAAUAGAAUUAUCCAAGUUCAGAUUCAAGCAUCCGGCGCCACUAACUUCGUCACUUGUACAAGCAGAAGCACAAGCUCUUCUUCUUGCUACCAAAGCAGCGCAGAUCUUACAAGUCGAGCAGGCGACGUUUCUCACUGACAAUCUUUCUCUUGACAAGGCGGCGGCAAACAGGAAUGUAACAACAGAUUCCACUCCUUGGGUGAUUAGAGAAUCUCUUGCUGAUUUCUAUAGGACGACACAACAUCUACAACCAUAGGUAUUCCAUAUAUCUAGAGAAAUAAAUGGGAUUACGCGCAAUGUAGCUCAUCAGAUUCUUAGUCGCUCUUUGGAACCUGUCUAUAGUUGUUUCGGGUCAGCUCACAGGAACAGAAUAUGCCCUGUCAUUUCUACUCUUUCUACCUUAAAUUUACAGGGUUUUGUACUCCAUGUUGUACACUGUUUUUGAGUUGAAUGAAGUUGGCGUUGAGGGCUCCUUUCACCUUAAAAAAAAGCUAAUACGCGGUACUCAUUUGACUUGUCAAACCAUCGACAUCGCGAAUAAUGCUACCUCUAGUCCGUAUGGGUCCCGCCUACCAGUGGCCAUAUGAAAAAAUAAUGGGAAAUUUUUUAACACAUUACUUUUUUUGCGGGUGAAUUUUAACACAGUACUGACGGAACCUUCAUACAUACGCACAUAUAGUCACUUCAAUAAACACACACGCACACACUAUUCCUAUAAGCACCUCAAAGAGACUCAGCCGAUACAUUAUCUUGAGAUUGAUGAAGUUGUCAUAAACGUCUUCGUAGUCGACAUGAAUGUCUCCUCCCAAUGCAAAUGGCCAGAAGGCCCAAAAUAAAUCUAGGAAAUGCGAGCACUAAUGUCAAGUCUAAAAUCUGAACUUUAGUGGGCUGGGAUACUACUUCCCACCUAACUAUUAUUCAAGCACAUGUUGGUUCGCAUGAAAUACAGUUUUACACCGGUGAGGAAAGACAUAUUACAUAUACUUCCAACACUAACUAUUACUGGUAGAAUGCCGGUGCAUUGCUAUGGGCUACAAUGCAUAUACUUUAGGAAGCAUCGAUACUCUGAAUUCCUAAUCUAAUUAUACCCCUCAAUCUAGUAUGUUACCCGUUACACCUACAACUUUUUUUAAAUGUACUCUAUUGUUAUUUUGGUUGUUGGUAUAUCAUGAAAAAAAUUGAGCUACAAAAUAAAAUUCACUAAUUAGACAUGCAUGACCUUGGUAUCAAGAAUGAUUGCUUAAAUAAUUUUUGGAAUGUGUGCUGACACACAUAUCCAUUUAGAAAAGAACAAUUUUUAUAUUAACAAAAACCCGAGAGUUUGUACAAUUCGCGGAUGUAUGCGGUUAACCUGUAAUUGUGAAAGAAAAAAAGGUCUAUAGGAAGCUCGCUUUGUGCGCUUUGGUGGUGGCAGCUGGGUUGAUCCAUCUAUGCUCGUCCGGCCAUUCGCUACAGCACUCAUCACAUGAUAUAAAAUAAUGCAUGGAUAGGAAGAUGAUGGUAUGAGAGACAUUGAUCAUGUGAAGACUCUUCCUGCAAUUGCCUUUCGGCCGGACCGACCCGGAGGCGCGCUCCUUGGGCACCUCCUCUGAGGAUGCACGGCGGUGACCGGGUCAACGUGAGGCACAUCGUUGUCUCAGAGGAUGUCACCUCGGCAGUGUGGUAGGAAGCGGAUCAUCGUUGAGGGGGAAGGAUUCAGGAGGGGGACGAUUUUUUGUUUGUUUGUUUUUUUGUGCGAGGCAAGGGAGGUGGGUUUUCUUGUGCAUAUGAGGAGGUGGCGACGGAUGGAUUUUUUCGUAGGGGGAAGCAAGGGGAGUUCCCAUUUAAUUAUCCGCAUCCCUAAUUAAGUGUCUGACUAAUUAAUCAAUUGCAUUAAUGGCUCGAUUCUAAACUUGGUUUGCAUUAAUCCCUACUUAAAUAGACUUAAUUAAUCUCACAUGUAAUUAAUUAUCUGGCUCAUUAAUUGCUUUAUGACUUCAUUCCCAAAGUGAUUUGGUGAUUGGUUUCCACAUUAUUCUUUUGUAUUUUUGUUUUCUUUUUGCUUGAGGCAAAGGGAGUGAGUUUUCUUGUGCGUGUGGAGAGGUGGGAGCGGAUGGGUUUUUUCGUAAGGGGGUUUAGGGUUUAAUAGUAAUGAUAAAUUUGAAAAAAGUUUCUACUAUUAAUUAUCUCCAUCCCUAAUUAUGUGUUUGACUAAUUAAUUAAUUACAUUAGUGGCUUGAUUUCAUACAUAAUCUAGAGGGAAAAAAAUCAUACUUAAACGGACAUAAUUAAUUGGAUUCAUAAUUAAUUGCAUUAAUGACUUGAUUUUGAAAUUGAUUUGGUGCUUGGGUAUUGACUUGUGAUAUCUUUCAUAAUAAGCGUGAUCCAGCCAUUUAAGGCUCGGUAAUACAUUCCAUAAUUAAUGUGAUACUCAUGUCCGAAGAACAAUACUCUCUGUAAAUAACAUGUAUCAAGAAUGUUCGCUUAGAUAAUUUUUGGAACGUCUACUCACACAAAUAUCCAUUUAAAAAAAAGAACAAUAUUUGUAAUCAUAAAAAUCUGAGAGUUUGUACAAUUUUGUGAAUGUAUGCGGUUAACAUGUACUCCCUCCGUUCCGAAUUACUUGUCUUAGAUUUGUCUAGAUACAGAUGUAUCUAGACUCAUUUUAGUGCUAGAUACCUCUGUAUCUAGACAAAUCUGAGACAAGUAAUUCGGAACGGAGGGAGUAAUUGUGAAAAAAAGGGUUAUAGGAAGCUCGUUUUGUGCUCUUAGGAUGGUGGCAGCUGGGUUGAUUCAUCUAUGCUCGUCCGGCUGUCCGCUGCAGCACUCGUCCCAUGAUGUAAACAAUGCAUGAAUAGGAAGAUGAUGGAACGAGGGACAUCGUGUCUGCACGCGAACACGUCACCGUGUACCCUCGAUGCCGAGGAUGAUGCACCGCAGCUCACGUUGAAGGAGACCUGCCGGAAGUGCGGUACGCAAGACAAUACGGUGGACGCUUUUCAGGACCCGAAACCCACACGCCCGGGAGGGACCCCAAUAGAGGGCGUAGCGGCUAUGGGCUGCCCUAAGUCGACCAGAUCGCCCCUAGGGCCUUGAGGUUCGCCACCCUACAAUGAAGAAGAACGAACAAAUAACGAGGAAGAAAAAGAACAAGAGAUAAGAAAAGUAAAGGUAAAAGAUGUAGAUAGAUUUGUUCGAUUGUAUGUUGUUUUUUAAUCGGCCGUCAUCUUUUGUCUAUACUAGAACAAUUCCCGUGCGUUACAACGGGAUAUAAAUAUUCUAAUACGUUAACUUGUGAUUUACAUGUCAAUAAUAAUGCGAUUGUAUAAAUAAAUGUUCAUCAAGUCUGACCGUGAAUUACCUUAUAUCUCUACUACUUAAAAAGAACGCAAGGUUCCCAUUUCACCUUUUUUCCCACCACUCAUUCGUCCAACCUUUCAUGUAUAUGAUAAUCAAUCAUCCUAAUUUACUUACCUUCUGAAUCGAUUCCACUUUAAUUUACUUACCAAACUUCUAAUCAAAAUAUCUCUACUACUUAAAAAGAACGCAAGGUUCCCAUUUCACCUUUUUUUCACCACUUCUUCGUCCAACCUUCCAUGUAUAUGAUAAUCAAUCACCUUCAUUUACUUACCUUCUGAAUCAAUUUCACUUUAAUUUACUUACCAAACUUCUAAUCAAAAUAUCUGUACUACUUAAAAAGAACGCAAGGUUCCCAUUUCAGCUUUCUUUCCAUUAUCCCUUCGUCCAACCUCCCUUGUAUAUGAUAAUCAAUCACCUUAAUUUACUUACAUUCUUAAUCAAUUCCACUUAAUUUACUUACCAAACUUCUAUAUAAUCAAUCACCUUAAUUUACUUAGAGCAUCUCCAACAGGCGCGCUAAACAGGCGUCGCGCCGUAAAUAUAUCCACUUUAGCGCGCGCACAACCCGGCGGAUGGCUCCAGCGGGCGCGCAAUAACCGUGCGCGCGGCAGGAAGCGCUACCUCGCGCGGUGUAUUUGCGGCGCUCGCUUCCGCGCACGACACACUCGAGCGCUCACGCUGCGUUCUGUCUUCUCCCCCUCCAAAGCCCCGCGCACGCCGGCGCCGGCGACCCGCACCCAUGGACGCGCGCGCCGGCACCCCGCUCACCCCGUCCUAUAGCCGCGACCCCCCCCGCCGCCGCCACAAACCCUAGCCCGGGUGGCGUUGGCCUCGCCUCCGCCGGAGCUCCUCCGACCAUCGGCCUCGCGUGCGGCCUCUUUAUGCCGCCGCGGAUGACCUCAGCGGCGGGUGGCGUCGCGCCGACCCCGGCCUGAGCCGCCGCCCCCUCCUCCUCAAAGCUCCCCAAUGCGGCGCCGCCAAAGAAUGGCAAGACAUCGGCGAAGAAAAACAAGGCAGCGGACGACUCCGGCACCUUCAAGGCGAGGAGGAAGAAGCUUGCGGGGCGUGCGACGGGCGCGGCGGCUACCGAAGCACCGGCGAGCUCACUCGUUGAGCCGGCGGCCGGCGCACAAAACAUGUUCAACGAAAUGCCUCCAAGGUAAAAAAAUUCUAACUUUUCAUUUUUUCAUAUUGUUUGAAUGCAUUCUCACAUAUAGAUAGCUUAUUUGCAUUGUGCAAAAAAAAUUGUAGUCUCAAUGAUGAUGCAUACAUGUCAACGAUGGGUGUUGGCUCCAACAAUUCGCAUUGGUCUCAAACCAAUGACAUGCAUUUUGAAAACCAUGAGUUCGAGGUGGACGAGGAGAGUGAGGGCAUUGUCGAUGCACCGAAAGAAAGAGCAGGCAAUUACAGCAACGCCGAUGACAUGUUACUAUGCAAUACUUGGUUGCAAGUGUCGAGGGAUCCAUCCGUUGGAGGUGAUCAAAGUAGAGAUGCUUAUUGGCUUCGGAUGAAGGAACACUUUGGUUUUCGCAACGUGAGUAGAAUUGACCGCUCCGGCCGAUCACUUAGGUCCCGGUGGUCGACAAUCAACUCGGAUUGUCAAAGGUGGGCGGCUUAUCAAAAGGCGGUUGACAAGUUGAACCCAAGUGGCACAAAUGAGGAUGAUAGAGUAAGUGGCAUUUCAUACAUGUUCAUCAUACUUGUUGUUGGUGCUAACUUGCUUUGUUUUCAUGUAGUACAACAUUGCGCAAAACUUGUUCAAAGAAGAGGAGAGGAAAACCAAGAAGGGGAAGAUCAAGAAAGGAAGGAUAUUUACUUUGCCUCAUUGCUAUGAAGUGUUGAAGGAUGAUGAGAAAUGGAAGAAGCGUGAAGAUUUGGAUGAUUUGCAUUUGAGCAACAAACGAAAGCGAAUAAUUAAGUUGGAUGAUGAUGAUGAUGAGGAGGAGGAUGAUGCAUCAAGUGAUGACGGCAAGAGAAGCCCCACACCCAACUCGGUUUCAUACUGGAAGCCAAAGCGACCGGAUGGGUGCAAGAAAGACAAAACCGGAAAGAAGAAGAGGAAAGGAGAUGAUGAGCUCAAAAAUGCUAUGGAAGCAAUUGUGAAGGCAAGAAAAGAAGCCAACGAGGUGAGGAAAAUGGCAAGGAACCAAGAUGCUGCGGCCGAGGAGAGGAGGUUGGCGGCCGAGGAGAGGAGGGUGGCGGCCGAGGAGAGAAAGGUGGCUUUGGAGGAGAGGAAGGUGAGCAAUGAGGAGCGUACUAGAUUGUUGGAAUGGGAGAAGCACUUGUUCUUCUUGGACACAUCUAACCUCAAUGUGACACAAAAGGAGUAUGUCAAUCUAGCCCGUGAAGAAGUCUUGAUCCAAAAAAGAGCCAUGGUUCGUGCAAUGGGUGGCGGUGGCCUCGGCGCCAUGGGUGGCGGUGGCAUCGGCGCCAUGGGUGGCGGUGGCCUCGACGCCAUGGGUGGCGGUGGCCUCAGCGCCAUCUGUGGCAUGGGUGGCUUGGGUGGCUUUGGAGCACCCCCCGACGCUAUGGCCACCAUGGAAGGCAUGAGUUUUGCUUCUCUCAUGGGAGGCAUGGGUGCACCUCCGGCCUCCAUGGGCGGAAUGUCUUUCGAUGUUCCUCCUCGCACACUUUCUCAUGAAGAUGCCGUUGAAGAUCUUGCCAACACCGUCGGAGCUUCACGUGAUGCAGUGCGCAAUGAAGAGAGGGAGGAAGAUUCAUCUUUGGAGGCGGAAGAAUCGUCUUCUGAAGAUGAGGACAAGGACAAAGACGAGGAUGAGGAAUGAUGUGUCUUUCAUUUGUGUAUUGAACUUGAUUUGAAUUUUGAACUUGGUUGGAUGAACUUGUGGGUAUGAUUUUAAACUUGUGGGCAUGAACUUUUCUUCAUCAACUUGUUUAUGUGAAAUUUUAGUGUUGAAAAUGUUCAUCAUUUUGUGUUGAAAAUGCCAUAUGCAAUGCACCCGCGAGUGUCGCGCACUGCAUUUUUGCACGCUGCUGGAGCGGCGCGCGUGCGCUGCAUUUUAGCGCGGCUGCUGGAGCCAGCGCUGCGCGCCGCGCCAAACCAGACGAUGCGCGCGCGGCAAAUCUAUUUUUUGUGUGCGACGCGUCCGGCGCCUGUUGGAGAUGCUCUUACAUUCUUAAUCAAUUCCACUUUAAUUACUUACCAAACUUCUAAUGUAAGUAAAUUAAGGUGAUUGAUUAUCAUAUACAAGGAAGGUUGGACGAAGGGAUGAUGGAAACAAAACUUAAAUGGGAACCUUGCGUUCUUUUUAAGUAGUAGAGAUAUUUUGAUUAGAAGGUUGGUAAGUAAAUUAAAGUGGAAUUGAUUCAGAAGGUAAGUAAAUUAAUGUGGUUGAUUAUCAUAUACAUGGAAGGUUGGACGAAGGAGUGGUGAAAAAAAGAUGAAAUGGGAACCUUGUUGGGGAACGUUGCAGAAAACAAAAAUUUUCCUACGGUUUCACCAAGAUCCAUCUAGGAGUUCAUCUAGCAACGAGUAAUCGGAUUGCAUCUACAUACCUUUGUAGAUCACGCGCGGAAGCGUUCAAAGAACGGGGAUGAGGAAGUCGUACACAACGUGAUCCAAAUCACCGGAGAUCCUAGCGCCGAACGGACGGCACCUCCGUGUUCAACACACGUAUGGUCAGUGUAACGUCUCCUUCUUCUUGAUCUAGCAAGGGGGAAGGAGAGGUUGAGGAAGAUGGCUCUAGCAGCAGCACGACGGCGUGGUGGUGGUGGAGCUGAAGUACUCCGUCAAGGCUUCGCCAAGCACUAUGGAGGAUGAGGGGGUGUUGGAGAGGGAGAGGGAGGCACCAAAGGCAAAGGUGAGGUGCCCUCCCUCCCCCCACUAUAUAUAGGGGGCCUAGGGGGGGUGGCGGCCCUAGGAGAUGCAAUCUCCUAGGGGGGGGGGCGGCGGCCAAGGGGUGGGGGGCUUGCCCCCCAAGCAAGGGGGCGCCCCCUUUUAGGGUUUCCCCCAACCCUGGGCGCAUGGGCCCUUAGGGGAGUGGCACCCCAGCCCACUUUGGGCUGGGUCCCUUCCCACUUCAGACCAUGGGGCCCUCCGGGAUAGGUGGCCCCACCCGGUGGAUCCCCGGGACCCUUCCGGUGGUCCUGGUACAAUACCGGUGACCCCGAAACUUGUCCCGAUGGCCGAAAUAGCACUUCCUAUAUAUAAUUCUUUACCUCCGGACCAUUCCGGAACUCCUCGUGACGUCCGGGAUCUCAUCCGGGACUCCGAACAACAUUCGGGUUACUGCAUAUACAUAUCCCUACAACCCUAGCGUCACCGAACCUUAAGUGUGUAGACCCUACGGGUUCGGGAGACAUGUAGACAUGACCGAGACGGCUCUCCGGUCAAUAACCAACAGCGGGAUAUGGAUACACAUGUUGGCUCCCACAUGUUCCUCGAUGAUCUCAUCUGAUGAACCACAAUGUCGAGGAUUCAAGCAACCCCGUAUACAAUUCCCUUUGUCAAUCGGUAUGUUACUUGCCCGAGAUUCGAUCGUCGGUAUCCCAAUACCUGUUCAAUCUCGUUACCGGAAAGUCACUUUACUCGUACCGUAAUGCAUGAUCCCGUGACCAGACACUUGGUCACUUUGAGCUCAUAAUGAUGAUGCAUUACCGAGUGGGCCUAGUGAUACCUCUCCGUCAUACGGAGUGACAAAUCCCAGUCUUGAUCCGUGUCAACCCAACAGACACUUUCGGAGAUACCCGUAGUAUACCUUCAUAGUCACCCAGUUACGUUGUGACGUUUGGUACACCCAAAGCACUCCUACGGCAUCCGGGAGUUACACGAUCUCAUGGUCUAAGGAAAGGAUACUUGACAUUGGAAAAACUCUAGCAAACGAACUAUACGAUCUUGUGCUAUGUUUAGGAUUGGGUCUUGUCCAUCACAUCAUUCUCCUAAUGAUGUGAUCUCGUUAUCAAUGACAUCCAAUGUCCAUAGUCAGGAAACCAUGACUAUCUGUUGAUCAACGGGCUAGUCAACUAGAGGCUUACUAGGGACAUGUUGGUGUCUGUUAUUCACACAUGUAUUACGAUUUCCGGAUAACACAAUUAUAGCAUGAAUAAAGACAAUUAUCAUGAACAAGGAAAUAUAAUAAUAAUGCUUUUAUUAUUGCCUCUAGGGCAUAUUUCCAACAUUGCGUUUUUUAAGUAGUAGAUAUAUUUUGACUAGAAGUUUGGUAAGUAAAUUAAAGUGCAAUUGAUUCAGAAGGUAAGUAAAUUAAGGUGAUUGAUUAUCAUAUACAUGGAAGGUUGGACGAACGAGUGGUGGGAAAAAAGGCGAAAUGGGAACCUUGCGUUCUUUUUAAGUAGUAGAGAUAAGAGACGGAUGGACUUCCCGUACAAAAAAGGACUUGCCUAGCGGUCUAAAUCAUCAAAACCUAAUAAAACACGGACUAUUCAUGACCUCCGGCCCGGAUGUUCAGCUCAAGGCCCGGAUGAUCCGGCCUACCCCAGUUUUCUGACAGUAGAUCACUAAACCGACUCUAACUUUUGCAUAUGAACUUGGAUUAAGACGAUUUUUAUAUCAAAAUUAACCAUUUCGACGAGACACACAACUUUUCUGCUGAACACUUUUCGAUCUGAAGCCAUCUUGAGGAGGUUUCGGGCUGUUUUCUAAAGUCUGUAGCAGAAAAACUUGUCCGGACGUCCGGAACCUUGCCCGAAUGGCCUUUACUCGGAUCAUCCAGGUCUACAACUAGAUCAUCCGGCUUCAUCUUUUAGCUUCUGUUAUUUGCGUCAUUUAUUCCGCCUCUGGCCGAUUGAUCUGGACCCCGGCCCGGAUGAUCCGAUCAUGCAGUGCUGCAAUGCACAAUUUUGGUUGUAACUUUCACAUACGAUCUCGGAUGGGGACGGUUUUUAUAUCAAAAUCGUCCGUUUCGACGAGACAAAGAACUUUCAUUUGAAACAUUUUCCAUCCGAUGUCAUCUUGAUUUGGUUUUUUGCCAUGUAAAAAUAUGGUGUCAACACAUCGAUCAUGUGAAUACUCUUCCCGCAUUUGCCUCUCGAGUAGACCGGCCCUGAGACACACUCCUUGGGCAACUCCUCUGAGGACGCACGGCGGCGACCAGACCAACCCUAAGGCGUGUCAUUGUUUCAGAGGAUGUAAGCCCGACAUUGCGGUAGGCAAUGGAUCAUCGUUGAGUGGGAGGGGUUCAGGAAGAGGACAAUCUUUUUUGGUUGUUUUUUUGUUUUUACGCAAGGAAAGGAAGGUGGGUUUUGUUGUGUGUAUGUGGAGGUGGUGGCGGAUGGGUUUUCUCAUAGGGGGGAUCAAGGGGAGUUGAGUUGGACAUACCACAUAUAGUCCCCAACUCUCAUUUAAUAGUAGAGACGUGCAUGGCUAGAAAACUUCAUAUUAUUAAUUAUCUGGAUCCCUAAUUAAGUGUUUGACUAAUUAAUUAAUUGUAUUAAUGGCUGGAUGAUAACCCACAAGUAUAGGGGAUCGCAACAGUUUUUGAGGGUAGAGUAUUCAACCCAAAUUUAUUGAUUCGACACAAGGGGAGCCAAAGAAUAUUCUCAAGUAUUAGCAGCUGAGUUGUCAAUUCAACCACACCUGGAAACUUAAUAUCACCAGCAAGGUAUUUGGUAGCAAAGUAAUAUGAUACUAGUGGUAACGGUAGCAAAAGUAAUAUUUUUGGUUUUAUAGUGAUUGUAACAGUAGCAACAGAAAAGUAACUAAGCGAAGAACAAUAUAGGAAAAGCUCGUAGGCAUUGGAUCAGUGCUGGAUAAUUAUGUCGGAUGUGAUCAAUCAUGCAACAGUUAUAACAUAGGGUGACACAGAACUAGCUCCGGUUCAUCAAUGUAAUGUAGGCAUGUAUUCCGAAUAUAGUCAUACGUGCUUAUGGAAAAGAACUUGCAUGACAUCUUUUAUCCUACCCUCCCGUGGCAGCGGGGUCCUAUUGGAAACUAAGGGAUAUUAAGGCCUCCUUUUAAUAGAGUACCGGACCAAAGAUUUAACACAUAGUGAAUAUAUGAAAUCCUCAAACUACGGUCAUCACCGAUAAGUAUCCCGAUUAUUGUCACUUCGGGGUUAAUGGAUCAUAACACAUAAUAGGUGACUAUAGAGUUGCAAGAUAGGAUAAAGAACUCACAUAUAUUCUUGAAAACAUAAUAGGUUCAGAUCUGAAAUCAUGGCACUCGGGCCCAAGUGACAAGCAUUAAGCAUAGCAAAGUCAUAGCAACAUCAAUCUCAGAACAUAGUGGAUACUAGGGAUCAAACCCUAACAAAACUAACUCGAUUACAUGAUAAAUCUCAUCCAACCCAUCACUGUCCAGCAAGCCUACGAUGGAAUUACUCACGCACGGCGGUGAGCAUCAUGAAAUUGGUGAUGGAGGAAGGCUGAUGAUGACGAUGGCGAUGGAUUCUCCUCUCCGGAGCCCUGAAUGGACUCCAGAUCAGCCCUCCCGAGAGAGUUUAGGUCUUGGCGACGGCUCGGUAUCGUAAAACACGAUGAAUCCUUCUCUCUGAUUUUUUUCUCCCCGAAAGUGAAUAUAUGGAGUUGGAAUUGAGGUCGGUGGAGCGUCAGGGGGCCCACGAGGCAGGGGCACGCCCAGGGAAGGGGGGGGGUUGGCGCGCCCCCACCCUCGUGGAUAGAGUGUGGGCCCCCUGACGUGGAUCUUUUUGCUAGUAUUUUUAUAUAUUCAAAAAAUAAUCUCCGUUGAUUUUUAGGUCAUUCCGAGAACUUUUAUUUCUGCACAAAAAUAUACCAUGGCAAUUCUGCUGAAAACAACGUCAGUCCGGGUUAGUUCCAUUCAAAUCAUGCAAGUUAGAGUCCAAAACAAGGCCAAAAGUGUUUGGAAAAGUAGAUACGACGGAGACGUAUCAACUCCCCCAAGCUUAAACCUUUGCUUGUCCUCAAGCAAUUCAGUUGAUAAACUGAAAGUGAUAAAGAAAAACUUUUACAAACUCUGUUUGCUCUUGUUGUUGUAAAUAUGCAAAGCCAGCAUUCAAGUUUUCAGAAAAGAUUAUGAUCUAACCAUAUUCACAAUAACAUUUAGGUCUCAUGUUUACUCAUAUCAAUGGCAUAAUCAACUAGCGAGCAAUACUAAUAAAUCUCGGAUGACAACACUUUCUCAAAAUAAUCAUAUGAUAUAACAAGAUGGUAUCUCGCUAGCCCUUUUUGAGACCGCAAAACAUAAAUGCAGAGCACCUUUAAAGAUCAAGGACUGACUAGACAUUGUAAUUCAUGGUAAAAGAGAUCCAGUCAAGUCAUACUCAAUGUAAACUAACGAUAAUACAUGCAUAUGACAGCGGUGCUCUCCAACUGGUACUUUUUAAUAAGAGUAUGAUGACUCAACAUAAAAGUAAAUGGAUAGGCCCUUCGCAGAGGAAGCAGGGAUUUGUAGAGGUGCCAGAGCUCGAUUUUGAAAUGGAGAUGAAUAAUAUUUUGAGUGGUAUACUUUCAUUGUCAACAUAACAACUGAGAGAUCUCGAUAUCUUUCAUGCUACACACAUUAUAGGCGGUUCCCAAGCAGAAUGGUAAAGUUUAUACUCCCCCACCACCAACAAGCAUCAAUCCACGGCUUGCCCGAAACAACAGGUGCCUCCAACUAACAACAAUCCUGGGGGAGUUUUGUUUGCAAUUAUUUUGAUUUGAUUUGAGCAUGGGACUGGGCAUCCCAGUGACCAGCCAUUUUCUCGUGAGUGAGGAGCGGAGUCCACUCCUCUUGAGAAUAACCCGCCUAGCAUGGAAGAUACAUACAACCCUAGUUGAUACAUGAGCUAUUCGAGCAUACAAAACAGAAUGUUCAUUUGAAGGUUUAGAGUUUGGCAGAUACAAAUUUACUUGGAACGGCAGGUAGAUACCAUAUAUAGGAAGGUAUGGUGGACUCAUAUGGAAUAACUUUCGGGUUUAUGGAAUUGGAUGCACAAGCAGUAUUCCUGCUUAGUACAAGUGAAGGCUAGAAAGAGUAUGAGAAGCGACCAGCUAGAGAGCGACAACAGUCAUGAAUAUGCAUUAAAAUUAAUCAACACGGAAUGCAAGCAUGAGUAGGAUAUAGUUCACCAUGAAGAUAAAUAUCGUAGAGGCUAUGUUGAUUUUGUUUCAACUACAUGCGUGAACAUGUGCCAAGUCAAGCCACUAGAAUCGUUCAAAGGAGGAUACCACCCUAUCAUACCACAUCACAACCAUUUUAAUAGCAUGUCGGCACGCAAGGUAAACCAUUAUAAACUCCUAGCAAAUUAAGCAUGGCAUAAGCAAGUAUAAUCCCUAAUUGUCAUUGCAAACAUGUUUCAUUCAUAAUAAGUUGAAUCAGGAAUGAUGGACUAAUCAUAUUUACAAAAACAAGAGAGUUCGAGUUCAUACCAGCUUUUCUCAUCACAGUCAAUUCAUCAUAUAUCGUCAUUAUUGCCUUUCACUUGCACGACCGAACGGCAUGGAUAAUAAUAAUAAUGCACGUGCAUUGGACUAAGCUGGAAUCUACAAGCAUUCAAUUCAAGAGAGAAGACAAGGUAAUAUGGGCUCUUUGUUAGAUCAACAAUAAUGCAUAAGAGAGCCACUCAACAUUUUCAUCAUGGUCUUCUCCUCUUGACCCCCAAAGAAAAGAAAUAAAACAAAACUAUUUACACGGGAGAGCUCCCAACAAGCAAAAGAAGAACGAUAAAUCUUUUUGGGUUUUCUUUUUAAUUACUACUACUACAUGCAUGAAAAGUAAACUAACUAAAAGCUACAACUAAUUUUUUUGGUUUCUCUUAAGGUUUUUCAAACGCACAAGAAGAAAGCUUAAAAAGAAAAUAAACUAGCAUGGAUGAUACAAUGAAAAAGUAUGAGCAUUGACAAUUGGCAUGAGUGUAUGAACAUGAUUGUAAUGUCGGUGAGAGAUACGUACUCCCCCAAGCUUAGGCUUUUCGCCUAAGUUGUUCUAUGCCCAUGGAUGGCCUGGUGGAUAUCCGAAGUUGAAGCUGGGGUCGUACUGAGAUGCAUCAGCUACUGCCUAAAGAGCUGCAACUUGGAGGCGAGCUUCCUCUGCCCUCCUCUAUUACUCGUCCACCUCCUCCCUGGUUAUAACAUAUCUCCCUUUUGCCUGAAAGUCAAAGAAAGUAGGAGCAGGGAGAGCGACGUGAUAGGUGUGUCGUCUGUCAAAGAUUAGUCGGUACUGGAGGGAAUGAUCGUUCCUCUCAACAAACUGAUGAGAACCAUAGCAUUAUAAUCUAGAUAAGCAAGAGGCAACUCAAUAUCAUAUCCACGUAUGGGUACCUGAAGAAAAUUAGCUAAACGGGUUGCAUAAAUUCCACUGAACAAAUAUCCAUUAAUACUGUUAUUAUGCAACCUACGUGCAACAAUGGCCCCCAAGUUAUAUUGUGUAUCUCCUAAUACAACACUCUUGAGAACACUGAGAUCCGGAACACACAUAUGACAUGCCUCAUCCUUACCGUUAAUGCAUGUACCUAUAAAGAGAGCAAAAUAAUGUAUGGCAGGAAAAUGAAUGCUCCCUAUGGUAGCUUGCGUGAUUUCCAUAGAUUCCACCACAGUUAUACUAGCAAGAAAAUCUUUAUAUUCAGAUUUGCGAGGUUCACUAACAUUACCCACUGUGGGAGUUUACAAGUAGUAUUAAAAUAUUCUAAGUCCAUGGUAUAAGAUUUAUCAUAAAGAUCAAACAGGACAGUUUGAGAAUUGAAUGACGAUGUAAAUUUAAACCUUCUCACAAAUGAAUCAGUUAAAUAGAGAUACUGACGGCACUUAUCUGCCUCGAAGCUCUCAAGAUCAGCGUUACACACAUAUGCGUCAAAUUCUUCCUUGAUUCCUGCUUGAACCAUAAAAUCUUCGGACGACCAUUCACAAGGUCGCACUUGAGCAUCCCUUGGUAGUUCAUUGUCUGGCUCGCGUAUUGCGGGCCUGGGUCCUUGCUUCCUUGAGGAACCACCUUGGUACAUUUUCCUAAACAUAUUUCUUCCUCUGAAAAAUUUCUGAAAUUUUUAGUAACUUAAAAUAAAAGUGAACCAAACUCAACAAAAUUGAUAGUAACUACUCCUACAAGUGUCUAGAGGCCAUAUCAUGCAUAAAAACUACUUUUGACCACAUAAAUUUGACAUGCAAGCUCAAGAACAAGGUCACCUAAGCAUCAAAAAAUUGCAAUAAAUAAAGCACUAGAACAAAAACUAAUUGGACCAUUGGAGGAGUCACAUACCAAAGAACAAUCCCCCAAAGCAGUUUUGUGAAUGGAGCUUUGAGCAAGGAGAUCGAAAAUGGCAGCAAGAUGAGCAAUAACUCGGGUUUGAGCUGGCUAGUGACUUUUUCUGGAGCAAGACGAAGUGUGUGGGUGCAAGGACAAGUGGAGGGGACCCACGUGGGGUCCACGAGGUAGGGGGCGCGCCCAGGGGGUGGGCGCGCCCUCCACCCUUGUGGGCACGUGGCUACUCCCCCUGUUGUGUUCUCAGUGCCUAAAAUUCUUAAAUAUUCUGGAAAAAAAUCAUAUUUCAUUUUCAGGGCAUUUGGAGAACUUUUAUUUUCGGGGUAUUUUUUAUUGCAAGGAUAAUUCAGAAAACAGACAGAAAAAUACUAUUUUUUGCUUUAUUUAAGAUAAAUAACAGAAAGUAAAAGGAGGGUACAUAAGGUUGUGCUUUCUAAUUUUAUCCAUCUCAUGCUCAUCAAAAGGAAUCCACUAACAAGGUUGAUCAAGUCUUAUUAACAAACUCAUUCCGAAUCGCAUGAAACCGGAGAAAUUUCGGAUAACACUAGGUUACCUCAACGGGGAUAUGCAUAUCCCCAAUAAUAAGAAUAUCAUAUUUCUUCUUGAUAGUAGGAAGAGGAAAUUCAAAACCUCCAAUAGUAAUCGUUGACAUUUUUCCAAUAGAAUUUAUACUGUGGACUUGAGGUUGUUUCCUCGGAAAGUGUACCGUAUGCUCAUUACCGCUAACAUGAAAAGUGACAUUGCCUUUGUUGCAAUCAAUAACAGCCCCUGCAGUAUUCAAAAAGGGUCUACCAAGGAUAAUCGACAUACUAUCGUCCUCUGGAAUAUCAAGAAUAACAAAGUCCGUUAAAAUAGUAACGUUUGCAACCACAACAGGCACAUCCUCACAAAUACCGACAGGUAUAGCACUUGAUUUAUCAGCCAUUUGCAAAGAUAUUUCAGUAGGUGUCAACUUAUUCGAAUCAAGUCUAUGAUAUAAAGAGAGAGGCAUAACACUAACACCGGCUCCAAGAUCACAUAAAGCAGUUUUAACAUAGUUUCUUUUAAUGGAGCAUGGUAUAGUUGGUACUCCUGGAUCUCCAAGUUUCUUUGGUAUUCCACCCUUAAAAGUGUAAUUAGCAAGCAUGAUGGAAAUUUCAGCUUCCGGUAUCUUUCUUUUAUUUGCAACAAUAUCUUUCAUGUAUUUAGCAUAAAGGUUCAUUUUAAGCAUAUCAGUCAAACGCAUACGCAAAAAGAUAGGUCUAAUCAUUUUAGCAAAGCGCUCAAAAUCCUCAUCAUCCUUUUUCUUGGAUGGUUUAGGAGGAAAAGGCAUGGGUUUCUGAACCCAUGGUUCUCUUUCCUUACCGUGCUUCCUAGCAACAAAGUCUCUCUUAUCAUAACAUUGAUUCUUUGAUUGUGGGUUAUCAAGAUCAAUAACAUGUUCAAUCUCUACGUCAUUAUCGUUGCUAGGUUGAGCAUCAACAUGAACAUCAUCAUUAACAUUAUCACUAGGUUCAUCUUCAUUACUAGAUUGUGUUUUAGCAUCAGAAAUAGAAAUAUCAUUGGGAUUCUCAGGUGUGUCAACAACAGGUUCACUAGAAGCAUGCAGAGUCCUAUCAUUUUUCUUCUUCUUAGAAGAAGAAGAACUAGGUGCAUCGACAUUAGCUCUCUGAGAAUCUUGCUCAAUUCUCUUAGGGUGGCCCUCAGGAUACAAAGGUUCCUGAGUCAUUUUACCCCCUCUAGUCAUAACUCUAACAACAUUAUCAUUUUCUUAUUAUUUAAUUCAUUGAGCAAAUCAUUCUGAGCCUUAAGUACUUGUUCUACUUGAGUGGUAACCAUAGAAGCAUGUUUACUAAUAAGUUUAAGUUCACCUUUAACUCUAGAUAUAUAAUCACAGAAGUGUUCAAGCAUAUCAACAUUGUGUUUCAAUUGUCUACCAACAUAAGCAUUGAAGUUUUCUUGUUUAACAAUAAAAUUAUCAAACUCAUCUAAGCAUUGGCUAGCAAACUUAGUAAAUGGGAUUUCGCAUUUAUCGAAUCUAUAGAGAGAAUUUACCUUUACUACCUGUGUCGGGUUAUCAAGACCAUGUAUUUCUUCAAUAGGCAGUAAAUUCUUAACAUCUUCAGCUUUUAUACCUUUUUUCUUUCAUAGAUUUCGUUGCCUCUUGCAUAUCUUCAAGACUGAGAAAUAGAAUACCCCUUUUCUUCGGAGUUGGCUUAGGAGUUGGUUCAGGAAGUGUCCAAUUAUUUUCAUUAGUCAACAUAUUAUUCAAUAGAAAUUCAGCUUGAGCAACAGUUCUUUCGUUGAAAACACAACCAGCACAACUAUCCAGGUAGUCUCUGGAAGCAUCGGUUAGUCCAUUAUAAAAGAUAUCAAGUAUUUCAUUCUUCUUGAGAGGAUGAUCAGGCAAAGCAUUAAGUAAUUGGAGAAGCCUCCCCCAAGCUUGUGGGAGACUCUCUUCUUCAAUUUCCACAAAAUUAUAUAUUUCCCUUACAACAGCUUGUUUCUUAUGAGCGGGGAAAUAUUUAGCAGAGAAGUAAUAAAUCAUAUCCUGGGGACUACGCACACAACCAGGAUCAAGAGAAUUUAACCAUGUUUUAGCAUCACCCUUUAAUGAGAAAGGAAAUAACUUAAGGAUAAAGUAAUAUCCGGUUUUCUCAUCAUUAGUGAAUAGGGUGGCUAUAUCAUUUAAUUUAGUAAGAUGUGCCACAACAAUGUUAGAUUCAUAGCCAUAAAAAGGAUCAGAUUCAACCAGAGUAAUUAGCUUAGGAUCAACAGAGAAAUCUUAAUCCUUACCAGUAAUAAAGAUAGGUGAAGUAGCAAAAGUAGGGUCAUAUUUCAUUCUAGCAUUCAAAGACUUUUCCUUAAGCUUAGCUAGUAAUUUCUUAAGAUCAGAUCUAUCAUUGCAAGCUAAGAAGUCUCUAGCGGUUUCUUCAUCCAUAACAUAACCCUCAGGCACAGCAGGUAAUUCAUAUCUAGGGGGAGAAUCUUGAUCAUCACUUUCAUCAAUAUUAUCAGUUUCAAUAAUUUCAUUCUCUCUAGCCCUAGCAAGUUGUUCAUUAAGAAAUUCACCUAGUGGCACAGUAUAAUCAAGCAUAGAAGUAGUUUCAUCAUAAGUAUCAUGCAAAGCACAAGUGGCAUCAUCAAUAACGUGUGACAUAUCAGAAUGAAUAGCAGGUGUAGGUGUCACAAGUUUACUCAAAACAGAAGGUGAAUCAAGCGCAGAGCUAGAUGGCAGUUCCUUACCUCCCCUCGUAGUUGAGGGAAAAAUCUUGGUUAUUUGAUCUUUCAAGUUCUUGAUAGUGAUAAGCAGAUAUAAAUCCCAAGUGACUCAAAGAAUAGAGCUAUGCUCCCCGGCAAUGGCGCCAGAAAAUAGUCUUGAUAACCCACAAGUAUGGGGGAUCACAACAAUUUUCGAGGGUAGAGUAUUCAACCCAAAUUUAUUGACUCGACACAAGGGGAGCCAAAGAAUAUUAUCCAGUAUUAGCAGCUAAGUUGUCAAUUCAACCACACCUGGAAACUUAAUAUCUGCAACAAGGUAUUUAGUAGCAAAGUAAUAUGAUAGAGUGGUAACAGUAGCAAAAAUAAUAUUUUUGGUUUUAUAGUGAUUGUAAUAGUAGCAACAGAAAAGUAAAUAAGCGAAGAACAAUAUAGGAAAAGCUCGUAGGCACUGGAUCAGUGAGGGAUAAUUAUGCUGGAUGUGAUCAAUCAUGCAAUAGUUAUAACAUAGGGUGACACAGAACUAGCUCCCAUUCAUCAAUGUAAUGUAGGCAUGUAUUCCGAAUAUAGUCAUACAUGCUUAUGGAAAAGAACUUGCAUGCCAUCUUUUGUCCUACCCUCCCAUGGCAGCGGGGUCCUAUAUAUUGAAAACUAAGGGAUAUUACGGACUCCUUUUAAUAGAGUACCGGACCAAAGCAUUAACACAUAGUGAAUACAUGAACUCCUCAAACUACGGUCAUCAUCGGUAAGUAUCCCGAUUAUUGUCACUUCGGGGUUAACGGAUCAUAACACAUAAUAGGUGACUAUAGAAUUGCAAGAUACAUUCAGGAACUCACAUAUAUUAUUGAAAACAUAAUAGGUUCAGAUCUGAAAUCAUGGCACUCGGGCCCUAGUGACAAGCAUUAAGCAUAGCAAAUUCAUAGCAACAUCAAUCUCAGAACAUAGUGGAUACUAGGGAUCAAACCCUAACGAAACUAACUCGAUUACAUGAUAAAUCUCAUCCAACCCAUCACCGUCCAGCAAGCCUAUGAUGGAAUUACUCACGCACGGCGGUGAGCAUCAUGAAAUUGGUGAUGGAGGAAGGUAGAUGAUGACGAUGGUGACGAAUUCCCCUCUCCGGAGCCCCGAACGGACUCCAGAUCAUCCCUCCCGAGAGAGUUUAGGGCUUGGCGGCAGCUCCAUAUCGUAAAACGCGAUGAAUCCUUCUCUCUGAUUUUUUCUCCCCAAAAGUGAAUAUAUGGAGUUGGAGUUGAUGUCGAUGGAGCGUCAGGGGGCCCACGAGGCAGGGGCGCGCCCAGGGGGGUAGGCGCGCCCCCACCCUCGUGGACAGGGUGUGGGCCCCUGACGUGGAUUCUUUUGCCAGUAUUUUUUAUAUAUUCCAAAAAUAAUCUCCGUUGAUUUUCAUGUCAUUCCGGGAACUUUUAUUUCUGCACAAAAAUAACACCAUGGCAAUUCUACUGAAAACAACGUCAGUCCGGGUUAGUUCCAUUCAAAUCAUGCAAGUUAGAGUCCAAAACAAGGGCAAAAGUGUUUGGAAAAGUAGAUACGACGGAGACGUAUCACUGGAUUCUAAGCUUGAUUUGUCACAAAAACAUGUACUUAAACAAAAUUAAUUAAUUGCACACGUAAUGAACUAUCAGGCUAAUUAAUUGCAUUAUGACUUGAUUCCCAAACUGAUUUGGAGAUUGCUUUCCAAAUUAUUAUUUUCUUUUUUGGUUUUUUGCUUGAGGCAAGGAAGGUGGGUGUUUCUUAUGCAUGUGGGGAGGUGGGAGCGGAUGGAUUUUUUCAUAAGGGUAUCUAGGGUUUAAUAGUAACGAUAAAUACGAAAAAAGUUCCUACUAUUAAUUAUCUAUAUUCAUAAUGAUGUGUCUAGUUAAUUAAUUGAUUACAUUAAUUGCUUGAUUUCAUAUUUAAUUUGGUGCAAAAAAUCCAUACUUAAAUGGACUUAAUUAAUUGCAUGCAUAAUUAAUUGUAUUAAUGGCUUGAUUUUCAAAUUGAUUCGGUGCUUGGUUUCCAAAUUGUUUUGCACUAUUGACUCGUGAUACCUUUCAUAAUUAACAUGAUCCUCCCAUUUAAGGCUCGAUAAUACUUUCUAUAAGUAAUAUGAUACUCAUGUCCAAAUAACAAUACUCUCCAUAAUUAACGUGAUCCUUUCGUUCAACCCUCGAUGAUACUAUUUAUAAUUAUCGUCAUCCUCAUGUCUAAAUAAUAAUACUCUUCAUAAUUAACUUGAUCCUACUUUCAAACGCUCGAUAAUAUUUUUCAUAAUUAGCAUGAUCCUUGUGUAGAAAUAAUGAUACUCUUCAUAAUUAAUGUGAUCCUUAUGUCCAAAGAAUGAUACUCUUCAUAUUAGUAUGAUCCUUAUACUUUCCAAAUUAAAUGGGCAUAUUAAUUGUCUGCCUAAUUAAGACACAUAAUUAACUAUUUUGGCUAAUUAAUUGCAUGCAAGUGUGGGCAAAGCAUGAAUUGGACAAGAGAUAACUGAGGUGAUUUUUGGGCAUAAAUGGAUGCAUGCAAAACCGAACCAAACCAAACUAAACAACGUACAAAACUACCAUCAUUAACGUGGACUCCCCCCUUUAGGAGUAGAGAUUAGUAGAAUGUAUGUGUGUUUCUAUGGGCUACAAUGCUUAUACUUGAGGAAGCAUCUCUUAUCUGAACUCCUAAUCCAAUUAUGCCCCUCAAUCUAAUAUGUUAGUCAAUCCUCACAGGACAUGCCUCCAGAUGCCGGUUCCACCCAAGUGAGGGAGUCCUAGAUCAAGGGGUCCUCAGGCGUCCGGGCUAUAUGAUGUGGGCCGGACUAAUGGGCCGUUAAGAUACAAGACAGAAGACUUCCUCCCAUGACUGGAUGGGACUCUCCUUUACAUGGAAGGCAAGCUUGGCAUUCACAUAUGAAGAUUCCUUCCUCUGUAAACCAACUCUAUACAACCCUAGGUCACUCUGGUGUCUAUAUAAACCGGAGGGUUUAGUCCAUAGAGGCAAUCAUAAUCAUACAUGCUAGACGUCUAGGGUGUAGCCAUUACGAUCUCGAGGUAGAUCAACUCUUGUAAACCCCAUAUUCAUCCAAGAUAAUCAAGUAGGAAGUAGGGUAUUACCUCCAUCAAGAGGGCCCGAACCUGGGUAAACAUCGUGUCCCUGUCUCCUGUUACCUUCGAUCCUUAGACGCACAGUUCGGGACCCCCUACCCGAGAUCUGCCGGUUUUGACACCGACAUUGGUGCUUUCAUUGAGAAUUCCUAUGUGGCGUCGACAAUAGGACUGAUGGCUCGCCUUGUUAUCAAGGACAGCAUCACUUCCAGGGAAGCCCUGGCCUCAGGCCAAACCCUCCGGCUGGGAAGCUUUACCAUGGCCGCCCGUUCGGCCUUUAAGCCGAUGAUGACUUCCCAAGUCAUCAAAAAUCGUCUCCAUGUUGACCCUGAAUACUCCAAACGGAUGGAUCCGGCGGAUUUGUCGUCUUUAAAUGAACUCUUGGAUCGCAUUACCGCCCUGGGGGUCGCUACAGACUAUGAUCGGAUUGGGCUUAAACCCGAUCAGAGAGAAAUCAAAUCUCCGAUGGUCACCCAUCAGAUAGAGGUCGUAGAGGAGCAAAACAACAACUCUUCCCCUAUGCUGAAAACAAGCUACGUUCGGAUUUCCGAGCUCGGAGAGCCGGAUACCCGUCUGCGGGGUGAUACUUCCAGUCCUUCGAACUUAGAAUCGGGCGUUGGGACUAAAGAAUCAUUGGACACCCCGGAACCCCAACUAAUAAACUCGGAAGUUUUUCAAACACCGGACUCCACAUUGGGUCAGGGUUCGGAUUUAACGCCACCCACCCACCACAAGCAAUAUUCGCCAAGCAAUUCCGGUCCCCCGGAUAUACGUGAUCUCGUGUACGUACAACAGCAGCCUCAGGAAACAGUCCAUCACUUUUGGGCCAGAUUCCUCCUUGUCAAGGACAAGAUUAAACAUUGCCGCGACGAGGAUGCGAUUUCAGUAUUCUGCAAUAAUUGCAUGGACAAAGGAAUCCUCAACGCCCUCAACCGCCGUCGCGUACUACACUUCGCUGACUUGGCAACCAUAGUACAGAAGUAUUGCGAAAUGGAAAGUUCCUGGAAAACUUAGACAUCUCACUGGGAACCACCGGCCUGGGCGCCACCUCCCUGGCGGGCAAAAAGGAUGCACCCUCGCGGGGCACACGACCCUAUAGGCAAGAAAAUUAAACCCAUUAUGGGACGUGGAACCGUCCUUGAGGGAUGACAUGACAAGCCAUGCAAAAUACACACGACACCGGAUAACGAACCAACCCACAGCCUCAGAGCAUGUUGGAUAUUCCAGCAAGUGGCCAAGAGCGGCGAGGAUAUCCUCACCAAAAACACCUCAGAGCAGUACUCUCCGGAAUACAAUGACCUCAGAGUAUUGACGAUCUUCGAGACUUUCACUUCAAACAAUCGGUGCAAGAGGGCACUCCGUGACCUCGUCGAAGUCUGCCAAGUCACAACAAUAAAUCCCUGGAACGACACGGCCAUAACUUUUAAUGCUGAGGACGAACAAAAGUCUGGUCACCAGCCGCCUGGUGACCCACAAGUGUAGGGGAUCUAUCGUAGCCUUUUCGAUAUGUAAGAGUAUCGAACUCAACGAGGAGCAGAAGGAAAUGAUAAGCGGUUUUCAGCAAGGUAUUCUCUGCAAGCACUGAAAUUAUCGGUAACAGAUAGUUUUGUGAUAAGGUAAUUUGCAACGAGUAACAAGUAAUAAAAGUAAAUAAGGUGCAACAAGAUGGCACAAUCCUUUUUGUAGCAAAGGACAAGCCUGGAUAAACUCUUAUAUGAAGGAAAGUUCUCCCGAGGACACAUGUGAAUAUCGUCAAGCUAGUUUUCAUCACGUCCAUAUGAUUCGCGUUCGGUACUUUGAUAAUUUGAUAUGUGGGUGGACCGGUGCUUAGGUGCGGUGUUUACUUGGACAAACAUCCCACUUAUUAUUAACUCCUAUUGCAAGCAUCCGCAACUACAAAAGAAGUAUUAAGGUAAACCUAACCAUAGCAUGAAACAUAUGGAUCCAAAUCAGUCCCUUACGAAGCAACACAUAAACUAGGGUUUAAGCUUCUAUCACUCUAGAAACCCAUCAUCUACUUAUUACUUCCCAAUGCCUUCCUCUAGGCCCAAACAAUGGUGAAGUGUCAUGUAGUCGACGUUCACAUGACACCACUAGAGGAGAGACAACAUACAUCUCAUCAAAAUAUCGAACGAAUACCAAAUUCACAUGACUACUAAUAGCAAGACUUCUCCCAUGUCCUCAGGAACAAACACAACUACUCACAAAGCAUAUUCAUGUUCAUAAUCAGAGGGGUAUUAAUAUGCAUAAUGGAUCUGAACAUAUGAUCUUCCACCAAGUAAACCAGCUAGCAUCAACUACAAGGAGUAAUCAACACUACUAGCAACCCACAGGUACCAAUCUGAGGUUUGGAUACAAAGAUUGGAUACAAGAGAUGAACUAGGGUUCGAGAUGAGAUGGUGCUGGUGAAGAUGUUGAUGGAUAUUACCCCCUCCCGAUUAGAGGAUCAUUGGUGAUGACGAUGGUGAUGAUUUCCCCCUCCCGGAGGGAAGUUUCCCCGACAGAACAGCUCCGCCGGAGCCCUAGAUUGGUUCCGCCUCGCGGCAGCAGAGUUUCAUCCCAUAAGCUUGCUUAUGGCUUUUUCUCGGACGAAAGACCUCAUAUAACAGAAGAUGGGCAUCGGAGGGCCACCAAGGGGCCCACGAGGCAGGGGGCGCGCCCAGGGGGGUAGGGCGCCCCCCACCCUCGUGGCUGGUGGGUGGCCCCCCUCUGGUACUUCUUGCGCUCAAUAUUUUUUAUAUAUUCUGAAACAUGCUCCCAUGAAGUUUCAGGACUUUUGGAGAUGUGCAGAAUAGGUCUCUAAUAUUUUCUCCUUUUCCAGCCCAGAAUCCCAGCUGUCGGCAUUCUCCUUAUUCAUGUAAACCUUGUAAAAUAAGAGAGAAUAUGCAUAAGUUUUGUGACAUAAUGUGUAAUAACAGCCCAUUAUGCAAAUAAAUAUCGAUAUAAAAGCACGAUGCAAAAUGGACGUAUCACUGCCUUGGUUCUCAAUCCAAUUGUGGAUGGCUUUCAGCUCACUAAAGUGCUCAUGGACGGCGGCGGCGGGUUGAACCUCAUCUACGAGGACACGCCCAAUAAAAUGGAAAUGGAUAGGAGCCGCAUCAAACAAAGUAAUACGACCUUUCCAGGAAUCAUUCCCAGCUGGGAAGCAAGAUGCGCGGGAAAAAUUAAACUCGACGUGGUAUUCGGCACGCCGGAGAACUAUCGGUCCGAAGAGAUAACCUUCCAAGUGGAACAUUUCAAAAGUGGAUAUCACGCCCUGUUGGGGCGAGACGCAUUCACGCGCUUUCAAGCCAUACCUCACUACGGGUAUAUGAAGCUCAAGAUGCCCGGGCCAAACAGUAUUAUCACUCUCGCCAGUGAUCCAGACAUAGCGCUCCGCGCCGAAAACAAAACCGCAUCCCUGGCCCUCGAAGCACUAUCCGAGGCCCUAGUGGCCGAAGAAUUAACAGCACUAUGCUCCAUGGUGGAUAGGGACGGCGUAAUCCUUGAUAAGCGGCCCAAAUCCACCUCCUUCAAACCAGCAGACGAAAUAGUUAAAUUUCAAGUUCACUCGACGGACCCAAAGAACACAGCUUCCAUCGGAGCACAGUUGGACCCGACGGUUGACGCUGCAUUACGCGCGUUCCUGCGCGACAACUGGGACAUAUUCGCAUGGCACCCUUCUGAUAUGCCAGGAACCCCAUGCAGAUUGGCCAAACACAGCCUCAAUAUAUUAAAGGGAUAUAAGCCGGUCAAGCAAACACUGCGGCGCUUUUCCGAACCUAGACGACAAGCCAUGGGGGAGGAGCUAGCCAAGUUAAUUGAGGCCAGGUUCAUCAGAGAAAUAAAACACCCGAACUGGCUAGUGAUACGUCUCCAACGUAUCUAUAAUUUUUGAUUGUUCCAUGCUAUUAUAUUAUCUAUUUUGGAUGUUUAUGGGCUUUAUUAUGCACUUCUAUAUUAUUUUUGGGACUAACCUAUUAACCCAGAGCCUAGUGCCAGUUUUUGUUUUUUCCCUUGUUUCAGUGUUUCGCAGAAAAGGAAUAUCAAACGGAGUCCAAACGGAAUGAAACCUUCGGGAGCAUGAUUUUUGGAACGAACAUGAUCCAGGAGACUUGGAGUUGAAGUCAAGGAAGCUUCGAGGUGGCCACGAGGCAGGGAGGCACGCCUGCCCCCUGGGCGUGCCCCCACCCUCGUGGGGCCCUCAUGGCUCCCCUGACCGACUUCUUUCGCCUAUAUAUGUCCAUAUACCCUAGAAACAUCAAGGAUGAGAAUAGAUCGGGAGUUCCGCCGCCAGAAGCCUCUGUAGCCACCGAAAACCAAUCUAGACCCGUUCCGGCACCCUGCUGGAGGGGGGAAUCCCUCUCCGGUGGCCAUCUUCAUCAUCCCGGCGCUCUCCAUGACGAGGAGGGAGUAGUUCUCCCUCGGGGCUGAGGGUAUGUACCAGUAGAUAUGUGUUUGAUCUCUCUCUCUCUCGUGUUCUUGAGGUGGUAUGAUCUUGAUGUAUCACGAGCUUUGUUAUUAUAGUUGGAUCUUAUGAUGUUUCUCCCCCUCUACUCUAUUGUGAUGAAUUGAGUUUUCCCUUUGAAGUUAUCUUAUCGGAUUGAGUCUUUAAGGAUUUGAGAACACUUGAUGUAUGUCUUGCACGUGCUUAUCUGUGGUGACAAUGGGAUAUCACGUGAUCCACUUGAUCUAUGUUUUGGUGAUCAACUUGCGAGUUCCGUGACCUCGUGAACUUAUGCAUAGGGGUUGGCAACGUUUUCGUCUUGACUCUCCGGUAGAAACUUUGGGGCACUCUUUGAAGUUCUUUGUGUUGGUUGAAUAGAUGAAUCUGAGAUUGUGUGAUGCAUAUCAUAUAAUCAUACCCACGGAUACUUGAGGUGACAUUGGAGUAUCUAGGUGACAUUAGGGUUUUGGUUGAUUUGUGUCUUAAGGUGUUAUUCUAGUAUGAACUCUAGGGCUGUUUGUGACACUUAUAGGAAUAGCCCAACGGAUUGGUUGGAAAGAAUAACUCUGAGGUGGUUUCGUACCCUACCAUAAUCUCUUCGUUCGUUCUCCACUAUUAGUGACUUUGGAGUGACUCUUUGUUGCAUGUUGAGGGAUAGUUUUAUGAUCCAAUUAUGUUAGUAUUGUUGAGAGGACUUACACUAGUGAAAGUAUGAACCCUAGGCCUUGUUUCCUAGCAUUGCAAUACCGUUUACGCUCACUUUUAUCAUUCGUUACCUUGCUGUUUUUAUAAUUUCAGAUUACAAAUACCCAUAUCUACUAUCCAAAUACCACUUGUUUCAUCAUCUCUUCGCCGAACUAGUGCACCUAUACAAUUUACCAUUGUAUUGGGUGUGUUGGGGACACAAGAGAUUCUUUGUUAUUUGGUUGCAGGGUUUCUUGAGAGAGACCAUCUUCAUCCUAUGCCUCCUACGGAUUGAUAAACCUUAGGUCAUCCACUUGAGGGAAAUUUGCUACUAUCCUACAAACCUCUGCACUUGGAGGCCCAACAACAUCUACAAGAAGAAGGUUCUGUAGUAGACAUCAGCUAGCAAACCUGGUGAUGGUACCAAAGAAGGAUAAAUCCUGGUGCCUGUGCAUCGAUUUCAAAGACCUCAAAAGGCCUGCCCCAAGGAUCCCCCCCUCCCCUGCAUCGAUCAGAUCAUUGAUGCCACUUCAAGACAUGACUCACUGUGUUUCCUCGACGCAUACUCCGUGAAGGAAAUAUGCCCUAGAGGCAAUAAUAAAGUUGUUAUUUAUAUUUCCUUAUAUCAUGAUAAAUGUUUAUUAUUCAUGCUAGAAUUGUAUUAACCGGAAACUUAGUACAUGUGUGAAUACAUAGACAAACAGAGUGUCACUAGUUUUGCCUCUACUUGACUAGCUCGUUGAAUCAAUGAUGGUUAUGUUUCCUAACCAUAGACAUGAGUUGUCAUUUGAUUAAUGGGAUCACAUCAUUAGAGAAUGAUGUGAUUGACUUAACCCAUCCAUUAGCUUAGCACAAUGAUCGUUUAGUUUGUUGCUAUUGCUUUCUCCAUAACUAUACAUGUUCCUAUAACUAUGAGAUCAUGCAACUCCUGAAUACCGGAGGAACACUUUGUGUGCUACCAAAUGUCACAACGUAACUGGGUGAUUAUAAAGGUGCUCUACAGGUGUCUCCGAUGGUGUUUGUUGAGUUUGCAUGGAUCAAGAUUAGGAUUUGUCACUCCGAUUGUCGGAGAGGUAUCUCUGGGCCCUCUCGGUAAUGUACAUCACAAUAAGCCUUGCAAGCAAUGUAGCUAAUGAGUUAGUUACGAGAUGUAGCAUUACGGAACGAGUAAAGAUACUUGCCGGUAAUGAGAUUGAACUAGGUAUUGAGAUACCGACGAUCGAAUCUCUGGCAAGUAACAUACCGAUGACAAAGAGAACAACAUAUACCAUUAUGCAGUUUGACCGAUAAAGAUCUUCGUAGAAUAUGUAGGAGCCAACAUGAGCAUCCAGGUUCCGCUAUUGGUUAUUGACCAAAGACAUGUCUCGGUCAUGUCUACAUAGUUCUCGAACCCGUAGGGUCCACACGCUUAACAUUCGGUGACGAUCGAUAUUAUGAGUUUAUGUGUUUUGAUGUACCGAAGGUAGUUCGGAGUCCCGGAUUUGAUCACGGACAUGACGAGGAGUCUUGGAAUGGUCGAGACAUAAAGAUCGAUAUAUUGGAAGCCUAUAUUUGGACAUCGAAUAGUUCCAGUGGUUCGGGCAUUUUUCCGGAGUACCGGGAGGUUACCGGAACCCCCCGGGGAGUAUAUGGGCCUUAUUGGGCCUUAGUGGAAUAGAGGAGAGGGAAGGGAAAAGAGGGAGGCGUGCCCCCAAGCCCAAUGCAAAUUGGGAAGGGAGCCGCCCCCCUUUCCUUCCUCCCUCUCUCCUCCUUCCUUCCUCUCCUACUCCUACUUGGAAGGGGGGGGGGGGAUCCUACUCCCAAAGGGAGUAUGACUCCCCUAGGGCGCUCCAUAGAGAGGGCCGGCCCUCCCCCUCCUCCACUCCUUUAUAUACGGGGGAGGGGGGCACCCCAUAGACACAAGUUGAUCAUUGAUCUUUUAGCCGUGUGCGGUGCCCCCCUCCACCAUAAUCCACCUCGGUCAUAUCGUAGCGGUGCUUAGGCGAAGCCCUGUUCCGGUAGCAUCAUUAUCACCGUCAUCACGCCAUCAUGCUGACGAAGCUCUCCCUCGACACUCUGCUGGAUCAUGAGUUCAUGGGACGUCACCGAGCCGAAGGUGUGCAGAUCGCGGAGGUGUCGUACCUUCGGUACUAGGAUCGGUCGAUCAUGAAGACGUACGACUACAUCAACCACGUUGUCAUAACGCUUCUGUGUACGAUCUAUGAGGGUACAUAGACAACACUCUCCCCUCUCGUUGCUAUGCAUCACCAUGAUCUUGCGUGUGCGUAGGAAUUUUUUUGAAAUUACUGCGUUCCCCAACAGUGGCAUCCGAGCCAGGUUUAUGCGUAGAUGUUAUAUGCAUGAGUAGAACACAAAGGAGUUGUGGGCGUGGGUAUAUACAUAUUGCUUACCGUCACUAGUUGAUUCUUGAUUCAACGACAUUGUUGGAUGAAGCGGCCCAGUUUGACAUUACGCGUAUGCUUACGCGAGACUAGUUCUACCGACGUGCUUCACACACAGGUGGCUACUGGGUGUCUAUUUCUCCAGCUUUAGUUGAAUCAGAUUCAAUGAACAGGGUUCUUUCUGAAGAUCAAAAAGCAAUCACUAUACCGCGUUGUGGUUUUUGAUGCGUAGGUAAGAACGGUUCUUGCUCAGCUCGUAGCAGCCAUGUAAAACUUGCAACAACAAAGUAGAGGACUUCUAGCUUGUUUUUGCAGGGCAUGUUAUGAUGUGAUAUGGUCAAGACAUGAUGCUAUAUUUAUUGUAUGAGAUGAUCAUGUUUUGUAACACAGUUAUCGACAACUCGCAGGAGCCAUAUGGUUGUCGCUUUAUUGUAUGAAAUGCAAUCGCCAUGUAAUUGCUUUACUUUAUCACUAAGCGAUAGCGAAGUCAUAGACGCAAUAGUUGGCGAGACGACAAUGAUGCUUCGAUGGAGAUCAAGGUGUCUAGCCGGUGACGAUGGUGAUCAUGACAGUGCUUUGGAGAUGGAGAUCAAAGGCACAAGAUGAUGAUGGCCAUAUCAUAUCACUUAUAUUGAUUGCAUGUGAUGUUUAUCCUUUAUGCAUCUUAUUUUGCAUAGUUCAACGGUAGCAUUGUAAGAUGAUCUCUCACUAAAUUUCAAGGUAUAAAUAUUCUCCCUGAGUAUGCACCAUUGCUACAGUUCGUCGUGCUGAGACACCACGUGAUGAUCGGGUGUGAUAAGCUCUACGCUCACAUACAACGGGUGCAAGCCAGUUUUGCACACGCAGAAUACUCAAGUUAAACUUGAUGAGCCUAGCACAUGCAAAUAUGGCCUCUGAACACUGGUGACCGAAAGGUCGAGCAUGAAUCAUAUAGUAGAUAUGAUCAACAUAGUGAUGUUCACCAUUGAAAACUACUCCAUCUCACGUGAUGAUUGGACAUGGUUUAGUUGAUAUGGAUCACAUGAUCACUUAGAUGAUUAGAGAGAUGUCUAUCUAAGUGGGAGUUCUUAAGUAAUUUGAUUAAUUGAACUUUAAUUUAUCAUGAAUUUAGUACCUGAUAGUAUUUUUCAUGUCUAUGUUGUUGUAGAUAGAUGGACCGUGCUGUUGUUCUGUUUAAUUUUAACGCGUUCCUACAAAAAGCUAAGUUGAAAGAUGAUGGUGGCAACUAUACGGACUGGGUCCGUAACUUGAGGAUUAUUCUCAUUGCUGCAUAGAAGAAUUACGUCCUGGAAGCACCGCUAGGUGACAAACCCGCUGCAGGAGCAAUGCCAGAUGUUAUGAACACCUAGCAGAGCAAAGCUGAUGACUACUCGAUAGUUCAGUGUGCCAUACUUUACGGCUUAGAACUGGGACUUCAAUGAUGUUUUGAACAUCAUGGAGCAUAUGAGAUGUUACAGGAGUUGAAGUUAAUAUUUCAAGCAAAUGCCCGGAUUGAGAGAUAUGAAGUCUCCAAUAAGUUCUACAGCUACAAGAUGGAGGAGAAUAGUUCUGUCAAUGAACAUAUACUCAGAAUGUCUGGGUACCACAACCACUUGACUCGGCUAGGAGUUAAUCUUCCUGAUGAUAGUAUCAUUGACAGAGUUCUUCAAUCACUGCCACCAAGCUACAAGAGCUUCGUGAUGAACUAUAAUAUGCAAGGGAUGGAUAAGAUGAUUCCUGAGCUCUUCACAAUGCUAAAAGCUGCGGAGGUAGAAAUCAAGAAGGAGCAUCAAGUGUUGAUGGUCAACAAGACCACCAGUUUCAAGAAAAAAGGUAAAGGGAAGAAAGGGAACUUCAAGAAGAACAACAAGCCAGUUGCUGCUCAAGUGAAGAAACCCAAGUCUGGACCGAAGCCUGAGAUUGAGUGCUUCUAGUGCAAAGGGACUAGUCACUGGAAGCGGAACUGCCCCAAGUAUUUGGCGGAGAAGAAGGAUGGCAAAGUGAAAGGUAUAUCUGAUAUACAUUUUAUUGAUCUGUACCUUACUAAUGCUCGCAGUAGUGCCUGGGUAUUUGAUACUGGUUCAGUUGCUAACAUUUGCAACUAGAAACAGGGGCUACGGAUGAAGCGAAGAUUGGCUAAGGACGAGGUGACGAUGCGCGUGGGAAAUGGUUCCAAAGUCGGUGUGAUCGCCGUCGGCACGCUACCUCUACAUCUACCUUCGGGAUUAGUUUUAGACCUAAAUAAUUGUUAUUUGGUGCCAGCGUUGAGCAUGAACAUUAUAUCUGGAUCUUGUUUGAUGUGAGACGGUUAUUCAUUUAAAUACGAGAAUAAUGGUUGUUCUAUUUAUAUGAGUAAUAUCUUUUAUGGUCAUGCACCCUUGAUGAGUGGUCUAUUUUUACUAAAUCUUGAUAGUAGUGAUACACAUGUUCAUAGUAUUGAAGCCAAAAGAUGCCGAGUUGAUAAUGAUAGUGCAACUUAUUUGUGGCACUACCAUUUAGGUCAUAUUGGUGUAAAGCGCAUGAAGAAACUCCAUUCUGAUGGACUUCCGGAAUCACAUGAUUAUGAAUCACUUGGUACUUGCGAACCAUGCCUCAUGGGCAAGAUGACUAAAACUCCGUUCUCCGGAACAAUGGAGCGAGCAACAGAGUUAUUAGAAAUCAUACAUACUGAUGUAUGUGGUCCAAUGAACAUUGAAGCUCGCGGCGGAUAUCGUUAUUUUCUCACCUUCAUAGAUGAUUUGAGCAGAUAUGGGUAUAUCCACUUAAUGAAACAUAAGUCUGAAACAUUUGAAAAGUUCAAAGAAUUUCAGAGUGAAGUGGAAAAUCAUCGUAACAAGAAAAUCAAAUUUCUGCGAUCUGAUCAUGGAGGCGAAUAUUUGAGUUAUGAGUUUGGACUUCAUUUGAAACAAUGCGGAAUAGUUUCACAACUCACACCACCUGGAACACCACAGCGUAAUAGUGUGUCCGAACCUCGUAAUCAUACUUUACAAGAUAUGGUGCGAUCUAUGAUGUCUCUCACUAAUUUACCGCUAUCGUUUUGGGGUUAUGCUUUAGAGACAGCUGCAUUCACAUUAAAUAGGGCACCAUCUAAAUCCGUUGAGAUGACACCUUAUGAACUGUGGUUUGGCAAGAAACUCAAGUUGUCGUUUCUUAAAGUUUGGGGCUGCGAUGCUUAUGUGAAAAAGCUUCAACCCGAUAAGUUCGAACCCAAAUCGGAGAAAUGUGUCUUCAUAGGAUACCCAAAGGAGAUUGUUGGGUACACCUUCUAUCAUAGAUCUUAAGGCAAGACAUUCGUUGCUAAGAAUGGAUCCUUUCUGGAGAAGGAGUUUCUCUCAAAAGAAGUGGGUGGGAGGAAAGUAGAACUUGACGAGGUAAUUGUACCUUCUCCCUUAUUGGAGAGUAGUUCAUCAUUGAAAUCAGUUCCGGUGAUUCCUACACCAGUAAGUGAGGAAGCUAAUGAUGAUGAUCAUGAAACUUAUGAUCAAGUUACUACUGAACCUCAUAGGUCAAUCAGAGUAAGAUCCGCACCAGAGUGGUACGGUAAUCAUGUUCUGGAAGUCAUGUUACUUGACCAUGACGAACCUACGAACUAUGAGGAAGCGAUGAUGAGCCCAGAUUCUGCAAAAUGGCUUGAAGCCAUGAAAUCUGAGAUGGGAUCCAUGUAUGAGAACAAAGUAUGGACUUUGGUCGACUUGCCCGAUGAUCGGCAGGCCAUAGAGAAUAAAUGGAUCUUCAAGAAGAAGACCGACGCUGACGGUAAUGUUACUGUCUACAAAGCCUGACUUGUUGCGAAAGGUUUUUGACAAGUUCAAGGAGUUGACUACGAUGAGACCUUCUCACCCGUAGCGAUGCUUAAGUCCGUCCGAAUCAUGUUAGCAAUUGUCGCAUUUUAUGAUUAUGAAAUUUGGCAAAUGGAUGUCAAAACUGCAUUCUUAAUGGAUAUCUUAAAGAAGAGUUGUAUAUGAUGCAACCAGAAGGUUUUGUUGAUCCAAAAGGUGCUAACAAAGUGUGCAAGCUCCAGCGAUCCAUUUAUGGAUUGGUGCAAGCCUCUCUCCUCCUUCCCUCUCUCCUACUCCUACUCUUGGAAGGGUUGGAGUCCUACUCCUGGUGGGAGUAGGACUCCCCUUGGGGCGCGCCUAGGAGGGCCGGCCUCUCCCCCUCCUCCACUCCUUUAUAUAUGGGGAGGGGGGCACCCCAUAGACACACAAGUUGAUCAUUGAUCUUUUAGCCAUGUGCGGUGCCCCCCUCCACCAUAAUCCACCUCGGUUAUAUCGUAGCGGUGCUUAGGUGAAGCCCUGUUCUGGUAGCAUCAUCAUCACCGUCAUCACGCCGUCGUGCUGAUGAAACGCUCGCUCGAAGCUCUACUAGAUCGUGAGUUCGCGGGACGUCACCGAGCUAAACGUGUGCAGAUCAUGGAGGUGUCGUUCCUUCGGUGCUAGACCGGUCGAUCGUGAAGACGUACGACUACAUCAACUGCGUUGUCAUAACGCUUCCACUUACGGUCUACGAGGGUACAUAGACGAUACUCUUCCCUCUCGUUGCUAUGCAUCACCAUGAUCUUGCGUGUGCGUAGGAAUUUUUUGGAAUUACUGUGUUCCCCAACACUAAUAAUGGCAGUAAUUGCCCCAUGGACCGAACCCUUCUUGGCCUACCUUAAUAGGCGAGAGCUCCCCGAGGAUCAGAAUGAGGCUCGAUGCGUCGGUCGACAUUCGAAAGCCUACAAGCUUCAUGAAGGAGAGCUCUACAAGAAGAGCGCUACCGGAAUACUUCAAAGAUGUAUCUCCGAAGAAGAAGGACGACAACUCCUAGCUGAAAUCCAUGCUGGUCUUGGAGGUCACCACGCCGCGGCUAGGGCUCUUGUAAGCAAGGCCUUCCACACCGGUUUCUUCUGGCCAACGGCCCGAGCAGAUACACAUGACCUUGUCCAACGUUGUGUGGGAUGCCAGCUUUUCGCCAUUCAAAUCCAUAUGCCGCCUACCGCCUUAUAAACAAUCCCCAUUACUUGGCCUUUCACGGUCUGGGGGCUUGAUAUGGUCGGACCCCUUAAAGGGGGAAGCCAUAAGAAAAAUAUCUGCUGGUCAUGGUAGAUAAAUUCACUAAGUGGAUAGAGGCCAAACCAGUUAAAACGGCCGAAGCCGGACCCGUGAUAGACUUUAUAUCCGGUGUCGUACACCGUUAUGGUGUCCCACACAGCAUCAUCACCGAUAACGGCUCCAACUUUACAGCCGACGAAGUGAAAACAUGGUGUGCUAAACUGGGCAUCAAGCUCAAUUAUGCCUCUGUCUAUCACCCCCAAACAAAUGGUCAAGUCGUACGAGCCAAUGAUCUUAUCAUGAGCGGCAUUAAGCCUAGACUAGUACGGUCUUUAAAAGAGUCAGACAAACACUGGGUCGAGGAGCUCGACUCCGUACUCUGGGGCUGCGGACCACGCCCAAUCGCACUACCGGUUACACACCAUUCUUCAUGGUGUACGGCGUAGAGGCUAUUUUGCUCUGCGACAUCAUUCAUGACUCACCUCGAGUGCGCAUGUACCAAGAGAGUGAAGCCGAGCUUGAUCGGCAGGACAGUCUAGAUGCCCUGGAGGAGGAGCACGAUGUUGCAAAAGCCCGUUCCUCAUUCUAUCAACAAUAAGCUCACAUACCAAAGCAGAGAAGUGCGGUCCAAGACUUAUAAUGUCGGUGAACUCGUUCUACGCUUGCCAGAUAAGAAAAAGGGCAAACUCAAGCCCAAGUGGGAAGGUCCCUUCAUUAUAGAUGAAGUUCUCACUAGAGGUGCGUAUUGUCUGCGUGAUGCAUCGGAUAAUCGCUUAGAGCAGAACCCGUGGAAUGCCGCCAGACUCCAAAGAUUCUACUCCUAGAGCCGGAGUCAUUGUUCAUUUUAUUUUUCUCCUCUUUUCAGUUUCUCUCUCUUUAAAUUUUUUUCUUUAGCUUUAUAGCUCUUGUGCGGCUAGACCGCACACUUAUGAGGUACACAUCCUUAAAUGUAUAUACCCAUAAUACCUAGGGGCUUCUUUUAUAGAAGCUUAUUAUUAUUAUUCGAGCACCAAGCUCACCACAUAUGUGUCCUUUUAUCACAUAUACCUUUUCUUCGUCAUUAUAUGCACCUUUAUGACUUAAGUUUUUGCCAAGCUGGAUUGCCUGGCUCCUGUGUUUAUGCCCUACGUUCCCGUUUGUUCGGUUAGGGCAUAAAGGGAGCACCUCUGCGAUUGUUACAACCGGGUCAUACGGACUUGUACCUCAGACUGGGUGAAGCCGAAAACUAGCGUUCUUAAGGGAAUAAUCGGUCGGCGGACUAAAGACGUUUUACCUUUGUUGGACCACGAACCCCCAUAUAUUAUAUAUAUUGUGAUUUUUUUGAAUCACAGUUUAGGCAUGCACACUAAUGCAUGUUCUCCCAGGGAAAGGAACCCUUAACAGAACUAUUCUCUUUGGAAGAUGUUUCUUACAAUCAAUAAGUAAUAUAACAUAGCUAGCCAAAUACAACUUGUCUGUUCAAGCAACUAUGACCCCUACGUCUGGUUUCCACGCAUGCCUCGGUAUUUAUCACCGGUCUGGUAUUCGGAAACACUCUGCACCUUCGAGACCGGAGGUCGAAGCGAAAAUGUCAGCCAUGACAAUCGUUUUACAAUUCGGCUAGGGACAAAUUUGUCAAUUGGAGUACAUAUUCACUUGGACUCAAAAGCUUCUUCCUCUAUACCAUCUAACAGGCUGUCUAGCUCAAUCAUGUUGUGAAAACUUGGCGGCUAUCUUUACUUGGUCAUAUACCAAGCUCACUAGAAUCUCUUGUCCAUCUGACCCCCGAGGUCCGACCCGGGUCAUAUGAUUCGGGUCUAGUCCGGUGUACCGCGUUUUCACCAUGGCCCAGGCCUCUCGUGCGCCUUCCCGGCAAGCCGAUAUCUUCCAUAAUCUAAGGCGGCGCCGAGCUCCCUUGAAUAGCUUCACAAGCUCCUCCAUACUUUUUGGAGGGGAUGCGGAUGGCCAUAAAGCCUUGGCAACACUACGCAUCGCUUUCCGAGCUCUCUCGUGCACUUGUGACAGCUCUUGUAGCAGAUCGCCUUGAGCUCCGGACAUUUCCUCUUCGGGUCGGCCAGUCAGCAUACCUGCAGACACAAAUCUGUUAACUCAUUUUUUACCACACUACACGAAGAUAAGUUCAAAAUCAUACUGAAUAUGCCGCCCCGUAGCUUCCUGUUCUCUUUUACGGCGUCCACUAGCUGGGCUCGCACGUCUUUUAGCUCUUCGCCCAGCAGGGUGUUGGAAUCCUGCAGCUUGUUCUUAUCAUACCUGGUCCGUGUCAAUACACGCUCGCCAACGGCCAAUUGUUUUUUGGCCUGAUGUUUACCCGCCUGUGCGACCAUCACUUCCUCUUUCAGUUGAUCUAACGAUCCUGCCAUGGGAAAUACAAUAGUGUUAACAUUACUGGUGUAUAUGAUUAAUAUUUUUCUGGAUGGAGGAGAACAUUACCAGGUGGUGCCUCCUUGGAUUUCUCUAGUUCGGCGGUAGCAACAGCUAGCUGGGUCCGACACUUUUCCAGCUCAUGAGGCAACAUGUUGUUCUUCUCCAUGAGUGCAUGAUUAUACAAUAAUCCUUAAAUUGGUUGUUUCAACUUCUUCAAGUCUUGGGGGCUACUGGUGUAUGAUUACCAGUUCUGUACAAUGCAUGCUUACCCGCAUAUCUUUCAAAUGCUGGUCAGUGGCUCUGGCAAGCCAUCCCAAGCAGCUUGGAUGUACGCAUCAGCCGAGCUGAAGUCAUCAAACGCCUCUUUAGUAAAGCUGGGGUCAUGAAGAGUGGCCCUCCAUCGCCAAUGAUUCAUGGCGCUCUCUACUUUAGACUUCGUGACAGAUACAUCAUCCGAAUCCUCUGAAGGAGGACAAGCCGGCGUCACUCCCGUGUCAGCCCCCGCCCUAGAGGCAGGGUCUGGAACCUGAUUGGUGGAGGUGCGACCGACAGGAUCCCCGGACAUAGUCCGGCAAACACACUUCCUGAUAAAACACGGCAGACAAUGUCACAGUUCGAUGUGACUGCCAGGAGGCGUAUUCAAAGCCAUACCUCUUUGAUGAAGGCUCGGCCGAGUUGUCAUUUUCCUUCCUCUUCGAAGAUCAGCCCGAUGCAGGCGCCGCUCUCUUAUGAGACGCCUCUGGUGUAGCAUGGCGCACCGAGCGCCUCCCCUUUGGAGCACGAGACAGUGCGGUGGGUGAGGCAUAAUGAGGAAGCUCUUUCGGAGGAGAUGCCUCCUGACUACUUACUCCCUCCGUCCGUGAAUAAGUGUACCUAGCUUUUAUCUUAAGUCAAAGUUUUAAAACUUUGACCACCUUUCUAGAAAAAAGUAAAAGCAUUUAUGACACCAAAUUAGUAUCACUAGAUUCGUUUUGAAAUGUAGUUUGAGAAUAUAUCAAUUUGAUGCCAUAUAUGUUACUACUAUUUUCUAUAAAGUUGGUCAAAAUUUUAAAACUUUGAAUUAGAACAAAAUCUAGAUGUACACUUAUUCACGGACGGAGGGAGUACAUAUGAGGCAGGAAGGAGGCCAGGAUAAUCAACCAUGAUGGCCACUUCUGUGCCAUCAUAGCUCGCCUGGUAGAAGACUCCCUCCUUGAGCUCUACAAAUAUGUCUGGAUCCUCUUCGAAUCCGGUAUCGAGGGCCCGGUUGUGGUUCUCUGGCUGUGGAGCAGUGCUAUGGAUCCCCGCGAUAACCUUCCGCCAUUCCUGUCAAAAAUGGACGGGUUAAUGUCAAUUAAACAUGACUCAAGGAGAGGAUUGAGUAAGGUGGUGGGAUUAAAACUUACCCAGUUAGGGGGAUUGUACAUGGAGAAUCCCUCUUGGUGCUUAAGACGAGUAAAUUCCUCUUUAUCCCUUUUGUACAGAUCAGCCAAUAUUGUGGCCAGGGCGGCAGGGGUGUCCAGGUCCUUUCGUCCGCAGUGUGAGGCGUCAUCUUCCCCGUUGUAAUGCCACAUAGGGAUCCCUCUGAAUUGGAGUGGCUGAACACCUCGCGCUAUGGAAGUCGCCAUUACCUCGAUUAUUGAUAAUACGGACUGGGCGAGUGUCCUUAUCUUGCCCAUUAAUUGUUGAACUUUCGUGCUAUCUUCCUCCUCGAGGCUCCAAGGGCGCCAGCUGUGGUGUUUCCUCAAUGGAGCGCUGGAAAAUUCGGGAAGGCCCAUUCGUACUGGGUCGGGGAGAGCGACAUCUUCAAUAUAAAACCACUCCGUGGGCCACUCUUCGGACACCUUCUUCGGCGUGCCGGACAGGUAUCCGGUCCCGGCUAUAUGCCAUAUCUCGGCACCGCCCACCUCGAAUAUAGAUCGCUUUUGGGAGCGAGGGGUGAGGCAGAAAAGCUUCCACCAUAAGCUCAAAAUGGGACAUGCAGUCUAGGAAUAGCUCACAAAGAGUAACAAAACCCGUAAUGUGCAGGAUAGAGGCCGACGUAAGAUUAUGCAGUUGUUGGCCAUAGUACUCCAGGAGACCUCGGAGGAAGGGGUGGAUUGGAAAUCCGACACCUCUUAAUAAAAAAGAGACGAAGCACACUCGUUCCCCCUUGGUUGGAUUGGGGAAAUUUUCUGCCAAGGUUUCGCCAGUAAAAGGGGUUAAUCCUGCUCGAACGGGGACUAGAUCCGCGGGGGAAGGAAUCCCUGCGUUUGGAGCUUAACCAGAUGGUCAUACGAUACUGAACAUCUCUCCCAAUCACCUUUUUCGGAGCCAUGAAGGCGGGAGGAGGAACCGGGAGCGCUAGCCAUGUUUGAACGGUUUCUCCUAGCGAGCUCUAAGGAUUUUCUGCCUGGUGUGGAAUGGCAUCUGAUAUCCAAUCCCUUUAAAUAGAUGCCUUUUUACAUGGCCGGGGUAUUAUGUGCAAAAAAUACUCUGACCUUUUGUAUUCGCUCGACACGUGGAAGUGGAAGCAACGGAGGCGCAGAAGCUGAAGGAUAUGACAUUAAAUGAAAAAUCCAAGUAUAACUCUUCGAGUCAGAUGCUUUGAAGUAUUUGGAGGAGGAACCCAAAUUGCAAUGCCGAAGACAAUCUGCGCGUCAGACACAUCGUCAUUGAAGCCUGGUUCGGGGGCUACUGAGGGAGUCCUGGAUUAAGGGGGCGGCGGGCGUCCGGGCUAUAUGAUGUGGGCCGGACUAAUGGGCCGUGAAGAUACAAGACAGAAGACUUCCUCCCGUGACUAGAUGGGACUCUCCUUUACGUGGAAGGCAAGCUUGGCGUUCAGACAUGAAGAUUCCUUCCUCUGUAAACCAACUCUGUACAACCCUAGGUCCCCCCGGUGUCUAUAUAAACCGGAGGGUUUAGUCCGUAGAGGCAAUCAUAAUCAUACAGGCUAGACGUCUAGGGUUUAGCCAUUACGAUCUUGAGGUAGAUCAACUCUUGUAAACCCCAUAUUCAUCCAAGAUAAUCAAGCAGGAAGUAGGGUAUUACCUCCAUCAAGAGGGCUCGAACCUGGAUAAACAUCGUGUCCCUGUCUCCUGUUACCUUCGAUCCUCAGACGCACAGUUCGGGACCCCCUACCCGAGAUCUGUCGGUUUUGACACCGACACCAAGCUCAACUAAUUAGCCAGAGUUGUCCAAUGUUGAGCCCGACAACACUAGGGGUGGUGCUCAGGGAGGGUCUGACAGACCCACCAGCACCCGAGCCCACGAAGGAGAGGAAGAGACCGGCGACGAGAAAAUCCAAUAAAGCUGCCAAUGUUGGUUCUAGCAGCCAGUCGCCUUCGACCAAGGUUUACAGUGUACCGAUGAAACAUGCGCCAUUAUAAUACAUGUCGCGGGAAAGCCAAUGGUACCGGCGAAUGCGCUAGCUGCCAUAACAGGGGAUCUCAGGAGACUCCAUGACCAUGUGCUUUCGACAGAGAGAAGCCUCCUCGCCUCGGAUGAUCCUGGAUACCCACUUUAUACAGUUCAUGUGCCGAGCAGUUGCAAGAUGUACAUCCACACAUGCCCCGUGGACCUCUUCUUCCUACGAUUUAAUUACAUCUUUCAGAUGUUUCUAGUGAGGACACUCGAUUUUACGUUCGUCCGCCUGUAUGUGCUACAUCUGAACUACAUCGUCAAGAGAGAGCAAGUCACUGGUGUUGCAGUUGCGGACCCAUACUACAUGCAUGAGGGCUUCUUGUCAAUCAACGAAGCCAACCGUCAAUACGCGAGUCAAUACAUCAAAGAAUUCUUGGUCAGCAAUAAGGAAAAAGAAACGAUUCUCCUACCUUAUCAUCUCGGGUAAGUCAUCCACGGAUAGCCACUAUAACACACACAUCCUUUCAUGCAUUUCAAUAAUUACUUUGCACGCAUGGAGGCUAACUUGAUCAUGUAUUUUGCGCAGCAGGGGGUGUCAUGCCGUUCUCAUUGUUCUUUACCCGCAUUACUCCCGCGCUCUAUAUUUGGACCCGUCGAAGAACAUACAGAAGAAAUAUUACACACACAUAAAGUAUGUUCAGGACAAAGCUCUCCUGGGCUUCAGUUUGCGGGGUGGCUACAUCCAAUGAAAAAAAAGACCGGGAUGUGUUUCGGCCACAAGACAGACUUUUGUUGCAUCCAGCAACCGGCAAGAAGUGACAAUGAUGGAUUCUACGUCAUCCAUCUAAUGAUGGAGUACAGCAGGUAUGUGCAAUCACUUUGCAUGAAAUCUUCAUCCGAUACCCAUAUCCAGAGAUGGGCCGAAGCCUUUGGAACCGUGCCGAAUAAUCGACUUCGAAAUGAUUUCUACCGGAUCCAGCAGGAAAUUGCAUCCAUCAUCAUGAAAGAUGUCCUCAAAGAGAAUAGAAUGUUCUACGAUGGCCCAAUAUCACGAGCCGACGUCCGAACCCGCAUAGCCCUACAGCGUCAGGACAUGACGCCUUUCACUAAGCUUGGGUGCACCCUCCCGGAUAUGGACAGAUGGGACGAGUGCACUACUUAAAAACAAUGUGUCUGUUUAGUUACUUGUAACUUUCUGUACGGCAAAACUUCGAAUGUCUUAGUACGGCGAAACUAUUAGAUGUAAAUGGUACCGCGCUCUAGUUAAUUAGUUUUGGUAUGAUGAAUUUUGUUAACUAUGUUUACUAUAUAUGUUGCUUCUAUUUCAUAACUGUUUCUCCCCAUAGGCCGGCUUAUCUUAUGCUACAUAUUAUCGUUGAAUUCGCUUCAUGAUAUGUGUGUGUGUGCGUGCACACGCGCAUCUCUAACAGGUAUAUAGAUCAACGAUGGCGAGGAAGUGGUAUGCCGUGUAUGUAGGGCAUGUUCCGGGUGUGUACGAUGAGUGGCCAGAGUGUCAGGCCCAAGUGUACCGCUUCUCGGGCGGAAGCCAGAAAGAGUUUGAUAGCAGAGCAGAAGUCGAAGAUAAUUACUUGAGAUUCAUAGCACAACAGGGGAUUCAGAAUCAGCGCUGCAAAAACUACAUAAUACCGAUUUUGCUCAUCGUGAUCGCUCUUAUCUCGUAUGUCAUAGUUUAGGUAGAUGAUGAAACUUGUGUCUGCGGUGACAAUGUAAGAGACAUGUGAUCAUUAACUUCUAUCGCCAUUUCAAGAUGAUGAUGAUAUUGACAUCAUUUGUGUUCGAUAAUGAUGAUAUGAUGAGACUAUGUUGUACCACUUCGAUGAUGAUGAUGAGACAUUCUUUUUUCAUAUAGUUUCAGUGUAUGUGUAUGUUGUAAUUGUAUAAAACCUGUAAAAUAUGAAUACAAAAAAAAGAAAAAUAAAAUACUAGCUGUAGCGAGGGGUUUUAUAAUAGCAGCAGCCGCGCUGCCUUACCAGUAGCGUUGGUGGUAGAGGCGCGCUACUAGUAUUAGUAGCAGUGAUGGUCAGAAGCGCACUACUACUAGAUAUAGGUAGCGGUGGCGCUGGGUAAGAACCACACUACUGUAGCGCGGUAGCAGUAGCGCAGGCACCAGCGCUAGUGAUAGCCAAAAAAAUCCACGCUACUAGUAGCCUUUUUCCUAGUAGUGUCAUGAAGAAAAUUUUGAGCUAAAAAUAAAAUUUACUAAUUAGACAUGCAUGACCUUGGUAUUAAGAAUGAUGGCUUGCAUAAUUUUUGGAUCGUGUGCUGACACACAUAUCCAUUUAAAAAAAGAACAAUAUUUAUAGGGAUUUCUAUUUCUAUGCCCCCUCCUUCCUUACCUGUGCUCAGUUUUUCCCAACCCUCUAAUUUUUGCUCACUUUUUCCCUCCACCACUCGCCUUGUGCUCACAAAGAUCCAAAUUUGGAGCCUUUCCCUAUGGUCAAGGCAGUUGAUUGUUAUCUUCUCAAUUGACUGACGCGUGGGGACGAAGAUAUUAGGACAGGUGGGCAACAUAUGACAGGUCGACCGUGGCGGUGACAACUUAUGACGAGGGGGACCUAGCUCGUUGACCUAUCACUUUCUUUUGCCUAAAUUAGCCUGACCCAGGUGAGCCGCCGCAUCCCCCAUCCAGUCCCACGCCACUGCCGCCUUGCCCACUCGUAGCCCCACCGCCCGAUCCGCACAUCGCCGGCCACUCGGACUGUCUUCCUGAGCUCCGAUGGUGCAGCCUCAUGGUUCUAAUGGGCAACCCUUCCUUCCAUAUGCCGGAUCCAUUGGAGAUCAUUAGCCGACUGGUACAUUUGUAAUCAAAACCCUAGCAAUUAGGAUUCAGUUAUUAGUCGAUUGAAUGGGUGAUUGAGCGAUUAAAUUGUCAUGCAUCGAGUUGCUGCAGUUAGCAAUUAGUGUGGAUGUCUACUUAGGAUUGAAUUCCUGCCAGGGUUACUAGUGGCAGGCUGGCGGCUAGUUUUGAAAUGAAACCCUAGAAAAUAGGUUUUCCUAAAUGGAGGCCAUUUUAGAUUGUUUUGUGGUGAAUUUGAUCCAAAUCCUAUUGGUUUUAGUUCUUUGAUUUUCAAUUGGUGUUUGAUUGAUGGCAAACAACUCGUAGCUAGAAGAGGGCGAUGGAUUUCUUUUGCGCCACGGAUGAGCUUUUGCUGGCCAAGUGCAAGGAGAUAUGCUGAUGGUUUUUUAGCGUGAAAUCUCUCGUGAUACACGCGCUGGGUGUGGUGUUGGAAGUUAUGACGAACGAGCGGAUGCGUUUACUUCCUAAAGGCAAGGGGGCAGUCCCAAUUGAUAUUCUCCUGUGGGCAAUGGCAGAGUCUCCAGAUCAUCGACAGCGAGCCCGCUGGUACGAGUAUCGCUCCCGCCUCUCCUUGCCGAAUCCAGAGGCGAAAGGGCCGGUGAAUUUGCGUAUUAUCCAGGACGUCGACGAGGUGAUGGAGGAGGAUGAAGAAGAGGUGAGCUACCAGGGGGUUGCAGAUCAUCACACAGGGGUCUUCACAAGAGGAGGGCUAUUGAUAUUCUCCUGUGGGCAAUGGCAGAGGCAAUGGAGUCUCCAGAUCGUCAACAACGAGCCCGCUGGUACGAGUACCACUCCUGCCUCUCCUCGCCAAAUCCAGGGGAGAAAGGGCCGGUGAAUUUGCAUAUUAUCCAGGACGUCGACGAGGUGACUGAGGAGGAGGAUGAAGAAGAGGUGAGCUAGCAGGGGGUUGCAGAUCAUCACACAGGGGGCUUCACAAGAGGAGGGCUAUCAGGGGGGGUCGAGAUCAUAGCACAGGACGAGGAUCCAGAAGAGUAGGGCUAUCAUGGGGGUCCAGAGAUCAUCACUCAUCUUGCUCAUGCUGAAAUGAAUCUAGCGAUUAAUUUGGAAGACGAGGAUAAGCAGAAGGUUGAUCAGGAGCACUUGGAGGCUGAUGCCGGCAAUGAUCUGGCGAUGGUCACCAUGGAGGGCAAUACUGGCGGCAAGAAUGCCUUGAUAGUUGUGGAGCAGUACGAGGUCUCGAUGAAGUUUGAGCAGAAUGUUCAACGCCUACUUGCCAUUUGGCUCGCCAUCUCAGGCAUCUCCAACCCCUUCUAGCUAGUGUUGAGGAUCCUACAUGUGAUGUCCAUUUAACUGCAAACAAUAUGCCAUGUUUAAUUAAUAGUUGUAUGCUAUGUUUUGGAUUUUCUACAUUCAGUGGGUUUUGCAUGUUCAAACAUAGUGCAACACGCAAAAUUUGCCAAAAAUAGCAACAUGCAGAACUUAUCAAAAAUAGUAUCAUGGAAAACUUACUUUAAAUGGAGUCGAACUUGCAAUGUUGACUUUUUCAAGACUUGUUGUAUUGCAAGUUUAUGAUUUUUCCCACCUUAGUUCACACAAGAGGGCUUCAUGCAGAAGGAUUAUAAUUUUUGAGGAUUUUUUCAUUUUCUUUGAUUUUUCUGAAAAUGGGGCAAAAUUUGAAAUGUAGAACCUUGGUAUGAAAUAUUUCAGAAUUUCAACUUUGAUUGUCCCAAGUGGAUGCACCACCAACAGGCUUGAUGAAACGGCAUGAACGAGUAGAAACAACUCCUUCGAUUAUAACCCCCCAACUUAGUUUUUAUCGACCAACUGGGUUACCAGGAACAUAUUGGAUGAACGUUAGCACAAUAAAUUAAACUGUCCAGAAAACUCUUUCAGAACAAUUGAGCAGAAUCUUGACGUAUGGGUUUCGAGUGUUAUUGUGAGUAGCCGUCUAGCAUGGAAGAUGGAAAUAGAAACAUUUGGACCAAAAGCAUGACAACUUCAUUCUCAUGCAAAGCUCCACAAAACAAGUAAGAUUUCACAAAGACAAAGCAAAGCUCCCAUGAAACAUGUAAGAUUUCAGUGUCAAUAGAAUAUGCCACUUUACACCAAUCUAGGCAUUUCAGGUAACAGAGCAAACACAAAAUACUUUCACACUAUGCUAGGCAUUGCAUCGCAGUCCUGACCUAGGCCUUUAUUAUACUUCCUCAUGGAUAAGUAGUUCUUAUGGUUCCUUUCCCUCUCCAUCUUCAGAGAAAGUUGUGGGACAAAUCAAUAAAAUGUUGGGUCAGUGUGGUUAAACCAACAAAAAAAAGGCACGUCCAUCCCACUUGUAUGAUGCAAAACCAGUGGUAUCUCCAAAAAUGGAAAAAUAAAAUGUGAGAACAUAAGAAAAACAAUGAUCUAAAAAACAGUGGAUUGAAUGUGGCAUACCAACAUGAAAAUAUUAUCCCACUAUUUCAACCUAUGUUAAGGGUACUAUAGUUGUCUAGAAACAGUCCAUUUACUUGAAGAGUGCUAGAAAUGCACAAACAAUUUCAUAACAUUGCAUAAGGUGUCAACUUUGAAAUACCAGUUACACCGGCAAGCUGACCUGCUACCACAUUUAAAAUGUUUAAGCAAAAAACACAAAUGUUUUAAAAAGUGGCAGAGAAAGCGCUCCAGCUCCACCUAGCAACUAGACCACUGCCUAGCAUUUCUAGGCAUUUCACAAAAAAAAGAGCCAAGUGUAUAUAUACUUCAUUAUACACUGUAAAAUUUUAAGUUUGACAAGGAUGAGUACUUCAAUCAGUCAGAUAUUUACUAGACACAGUUUCCAUACAUCUCCCACUUAUCCUCUUCACUACCCACUAUUCCUGUCCUGCAAAGUAGGCAGUAGCAUGCAAGAAAGCACUGAAUAAGUAUUGGGAACACGGACCGGUGCUGUGCAACUGACACACUAAAGCAGCAAAAAGCAGGAAAAAAACACCUUUUUGAAUGCUUAAGCAUCCAGGCACUUAAAAGCAAUCGCUUAGAUGAAAGACCUUAGGCGCAGCUUUUUAAACACUAAACUACCAAGGUAACUUUAACAUAACAUCUGCUAUCAAGAAACUAACAAGACUAGUGCAGUCACUACUAUCAUUUGGAACAAAAGUCUUCAAAAGAUCCCGCUAUUUCAACCUAUGUUAGGGGUAAUAACAGACCUUUUACAUGAAAAGUGCUAGAAAUGCACAAUUUCAUAAAAGUGCACAAGGAGUGAACUUUGAAUUAACAAUUACACCAGCAAGCAGAAUUGCUACCACAUCCAAAAUGUUUAAGCAAAAACCACCAAUACUUAACAAACCGUAGAGAGAAUCAAGCGCUCCAGCUCCACCUAGCAGGCUAGCACCCACGCGCUGCCUAGUGUUUCUAGGCGUUUUACAGAGAACAGAGCAAAGUGUAUAUACUCUUCAUUAUAAACUGUAAAUGUUUUAGUUUGAGAAGGAUGAAUGUUUCGAUCAACGAUAUAUUUACUAAAUAUAGAGUUUCCAUACAUGGCACUUCUCCUCCUCCUCUAUCACUACCCAUUGUUCCUGUUGUCAUGCAGGAGACAGUAGCAUACAAGAAUCACUGAAUAAGUAUUGGAAACAUGAAUCGGUGACACACUAAAGCAACAAAAAGUAGGGGGAAAACCCUUUCGGAUUAAGCACUUAAAAUCCAUGGCCCCAUAGCCCUUGGGCGCAGACUAAUCUGCUAAGGUAACAGUCAGUCCUAUCGUCAGAAACAACACUCUUCAAAACAAGAGUAAACAGUCGUCGAAAUAAGACUCUUCAAAAGAAGACCUGCCCCUCCAGUCACCUAGUUUAACCUAGAUAAUCAAAAAUAUAUAUCUUAUGAUGGGUUCCCAAAUAAAACAGUCACCUAGUAUAAGAUGCUGACAUAGACCGCAGUGAGUAGCAUUGGUGAUGGUAUAUCAACAUGGGAGCAUGACAACACCUGGAGGUGAUGCGCACGGAUCUUGCCGGGAGUUGAGACAUAGGAUGAGUGGUUCGCGGUUGCUGUACGCCUCCCGCAGCGCCGCCUUUUUCUUCUUCACCAUCUCUGCGAGAAAAGGUUGGCUGAACAACCCAGAUAGAUUAAAUUUUGCUCGGUUAGUUAGAAUCAAUUAAAUUCCCCAAGAUAGACAUACACGCAAGCGAGCGAACAAGAGAGAGGGCGCGCACACAUCUCGGAGGGGACACCGUUGGUGACCUUGGCUGCCCUAAGUUCCUUCAGCUUCGCCUUUAGCUCCUUAAGUUGCACCCUAAGUUCCGCCCGCUUGACCGGGUCUGCCGCACAACAACGGAGGCGUCAGAUCCACAAGAAACUAGUAAGGACGGACGCAGUGAUGCUUACCCAUGGCGUCAGGGGCAAAGCGGAGGCGGCGGCGGAGCGGGGUGGAGGCUGUGCGCGAAGGCAACUGAUCGACUGCCGGCGGCGGGGGAGGCUUAUAUAAGUAAGAUAGAAGGGAAUACAAAACCAUAGAUUGAGGCGCAGUGUGGGCUGAAUUGGUUGGUCACCUAGGGUAGAGUUUUCCCCUCACGUUAGGGUUUCCUUCUCCUGGUGGCGAUCCUGCGCCGCCGUCGAGCGUUCUCCUUCCCUCCUCCGAUUCUUCCUGCAUGACGGAUCCGGGUCGACCUCGGGGGGAUCCCAGCAUCCCCUCCCGACCUGGGUUUCAUCCCCCUGCUAGGACGGGAGAGUUAGGGUUAAUUUACAAGGCCCAAUCGUUUUCUUUCUCGGGCUAGGGUUCAAGUUUGGUGCGGCGAUGGGAUCAAGGACCAACGAGGCGUCGGGUUCCUGCUCCGCAUCAGAGGUGGAGAAGAUGAUGGCUGAGCUAGGGCUUCGCGACGAAGACCUAGAUGACGUUGUUUUUGAUGAGAAAGCUGCACCACCGGAGGCAGCGAGGUGGAUGGCGGUGGCUAGAGUUCACAUAGAUAAGUCGUACAGUCAAUAUUGGUUCUUCAAAAACAUGCGGGCUGCGUGGGAUCUAGCACGCGAUGUCAAAUUCUGCCCGCUUGAGGAUAAUCUGUAUACUCUGCAGUUCUUUUGCUUGGGUGACUGGGAACGAGUGAUGCAAGAAGGACCAUGGAAUUUCAGGGGUAACGCCGUCAUCAUCACACCAUAUGACGGCAUCACCAAGCCAACUGAAGUGAAGCUAGACACCCUUGAUAUAUGGAUACAGAUCCACGAUGUACCUGACUUAUAUGCACAUCUGGUUGGGCCUUUAGCUGCAAAAGUCGGGGAAGUUUUGUUCACUGAGACAAUGACUCAAGACUUUGCUGGAAACUUCUAUUGUGUAUGGGUCAAGAUCAACGUUAAUAAUCCCCUGAAGGAUGCGGUCUCUAUGAUUCGUGAUGGCAAGCGUCAGAUAUACCGUGUGAAAUACGAACGCUUGCCGGAUUGGUGUGCUAUGUGUGGCCAUCUUGGGCAUGUCUACAAGGAGCACGGCAGUGGUAUUCACCCCCCAUCGGCGCUGUACUUUAAGAAUCUCAGAGCUGAAUGGAACAUGCAUGUUGGUGCAGGCCCGGGGGUAGGGCGAGGAAGAGGACGCAGCGGCGGCCGCCGGGGUGGACGUGCUAGGGGGGGAAGAGCCGAAGAUGGAAAACCCAACGAUGCAGACUCUGAGCUGCCGCUAAAUGCCGAUGAGGAUGCAAUAAUGAAGGAAGUGGAGGAGAGCAGGAAACGCACUUCUCAUCCAUCAGGAGAUCCUGGAUUAACUAGCUCUUCGGCCUCCCUUCCCAGUCUGGUUUCUUCAGAAAGUAUGGUGAAUCCAUUGGCGAUUGUUCCGGCAGGAGCUGCGAUGGUGAGUCCUCCUCCAAAGAGAGACCCAAAGAGGACUAGGCUGGAAGAUGAUGGAUCAUAUGGACAAAGUGUAGCAGUGAAGAUGUUGGCGGGCUCCUUCGAGGAGCGCCGCCGGGCCCAAUGAAUGCAUUAUGUUGGAACUGUCGUGGUUUGGGCAAAGCCGCGACGGUUCGAGAAAUUCGUGAUUUCGCGAAUAAGUUUGCCCCUACCCUAAUGUGUAUUGUAGAAACUCAGAUUGAUGGAACUAGGGUAGAAGCAUUAGCUGGCUCGUUUGGAUAUGAUAAUGGAUAUGCUAUUGAUAGUCAAGGUAGAAGUGGCGGCAUCGGUGUUUUUUGGAACAAUGAAAUAAAGCUUGAGAUUUUAGGUUACUCAGUGUAUCAUAUUGAUUGCUCUGUGACAGAACCAGGCAUGGAUCCGUGGAGAUUAACUAUAGUGUAUGGAGAAGCUCAAACACACCUCAGAUCACAAACAUGGGACACUCUCAAGAAUCUGAGCAAUUCCAAUAAUCUCCCUUGGAUUUGUCUAGGAGAUUUCAAUGAGGUUUUGAGGCCCGAUGAGCACGUCGGGAUUGGACAGAGAAGCAACGCACAAAUUCAAGCGUUUCGAGAUACCGUGGACGUCUGCAGUUUAAUGGAUAUUGGCUUCUUUGGACGGCCUUGGACUUUCGAGAAGUGAGGGGAGGGACGUACACUCGUGUAUGCCUAGAUCGGGCCCUAGCCACGACAGAGUGGCGUACUCUGUUUCCUAUGGCUGACCUGUCACACUUAACAACAACCACCUCUGACCAUUGUCCAAUUUUAUUGAACUUAAACAGAGAGGAGAUGGUGGCUCGGCCACCCCGAACUUUUCGAUAUGAGGUUAUGUGGGAGGGCCACUCGGACUGGGGAGAGACGAUCGAUACAGCACGGUUACAGAAGGGUGUGAGCACAACGGUGGAACAACUCAAGGAUAAGUUGCAUGCGAUAUCAAAUGACUUAGGGCGCUGGGACAGAAACACCUUUGGUUGUGUCCGUAAGGAGAUCAAGGACCUGAAGAAGGAACUUGUUAAACUUCAGUCAGACCCCAAUCGUACGGCACCAACCCAUGUUGAGCUCAAGAUAAAUGAGAAACUGGUGGAACUCUAUCACCGUGAGGAAUUGAUGUGGAGGCAAAGGUCCAGAAUUUAGUGGCUAACGUCGGGCGACAAGAACACAAACUUUUUUCAUUUGAGAGCAAGUAUAAGGAGGAAGAAGAACAUGAUAAAAGCUUUGCAAAACUCUCUUGGUGUGAUUUCUGUUGAUCCCCACGAACUAAAGGUCAUGGUCCAAAACUUCUAUACAUCUCUGUACACGGCUGAAGGUACUCACAAUAUGAAUGUGGUGCUAGACACCGUGUCGGUCAAGGUGACAAGGGAGAUGAAUGAGCUCCUGUGCGCCCCCUACACCAAGGAUGAAGUAAAAUCAGCCUUAUUCCAAAUGUUCCUGACAAAAGCUCAUGGUCUAGACGGAUUUCCGGCUCAUUUUUAUCAGCAUCACUGGGAUCUUUGUGGUGAUGAGGUUACAGAGGCAGUGUUGAAAAUUGUAAGGGGAGAGGAAAGCCCAGAAUGCAUCAACGACACAGUCCUAGUGCUAAUUCCAAAGGUAUCCAACCCAUCCCUUCUGUCACAAUUCAGACCCAUAAGCUUAUGUAAUGUUUUAUACAAGAUUGCGUUCAAGGUCAUUGCCAACAGGCUCAAGCAGGUAUUACCGGAUAUUAUUUCUGAAGAGCAGUCGACCUUUGUACCGGGGAGGCUCAUCACAGAUAACAUAAUUAGUGCAUAUGAAUGCCUUCACUUUAUGAAAAGGAACAAAUACAAGGUACAUAGCCACUGUGCUUUGAAGCUUGAUAUGAUGAAGGCAUAUGACAGAUUGGAGUGGGACUACCUGCAAGCAAUGAUGUUGAAACUGGGUUUCGAUUCAGCUUGGGUGAAUAUUGUGAUGAGCAUGGUACACACUGUCUCUUUCUCAGUCCUCUUCAAUGGCGAGAGACUUGAUCAGUUUAGCCCGGGAAGGGGCAUUCGGCAGGGAGAUCCGAUCUCCCCAUACCUUUUCUUAAUUGCAGCAGAGGGCCGCACGUGCCUCCUCAAAAACAGUUCUUCGUCAUCCCAGCUUGAGGGGAUCAAGGUGGCUCCAACGGCUCCUGUCGCCAGUCACCUCCUCUUUGCCGAUGACAGCCUGCUGCUUUUUAAGUCAAGUACUAAUGGGGCUGUUUUGGUGUCAAACCUACUGAAUUACUAUUGUAUGGCUUCAGGUCAGCGCAUUAAUCAUGAGAAGUCCUCAAUCUUUUUCAGCCGUGGCUGCCCUCAGGUGGUAAGAGACAGUAUCAAGAACACUUUAAAUGUCCACAAUGAGUCUUUGAGCGAUCGGUACUUGGGAAUGCCCACCGAUGUUGGACACUCGAAGAAUGGCACGUUCAAAUACCUGAGAGACCGUGUUUGGGAGAAGGUGAAAGGAUGGAUGGAGAAAAUGCUUUCUUAUGCUGGCAAAGAAAUCUUAAUAAAAUCAGUGGCGCAGGCUAUUCCCGUAUAUUCCAUGUCUUGCUUCCGCCUACCUCGGGGCCUUUGUGAGAGUGUGUCAACACUGAUUCGGCAGUUCUGGUGGGGCAGCAAACAAGGGAAGCGGAAGCCCAGUUGGGUGGCCUGGGACGUCAUGACUAGACCGAAGCAUAUGGGGGGACUUGGCUUUCGGGAUUUGGAGAUCUUCAACCUAGCCCUUCUAGCCAGACAAGCAUGGCGAUUGAUACAUCACCCUACGUCUCUAAGUGCACGAAUGAUCAAAGCAAUUUACUAUCUGGACACUUCUCUUUUUGAGGCAACUUUAGGAUCUCACCCCUCGUAGAUUUGGCGAGCGAUUAUGGAUGGACGUGACGUAAUGGUACAAGGCCUGAUCCGUCAAAUUGGCAAUGGUGAAUCAACAGAGAUCUGGAGCUCGAACUGGAUCCCGAGGCCGAAUCUGAAACGGCCUCUAACAUCUCUGCUACAACAUCCUCCUACCAAAGUCUCCGAGUUGAUCAUCCCGGCCACUUCAUCAUGGAACGAACAACUUGUUCGGUCGACUUUCAUCCCGAUAGAUGCAUAGGCAAUCUUGCAAAUACCCUUGUGCACACGUCAGACCAAGGACUUUUGGGCGUGGAGUGAGGAAAGAACUGGACACUUCACUGUCAGGUCGGCGUACAGAAUGAUCCAGCGAGUUAAGUUCAGCCAGGAAGCUUGGUUGUACGAGCAAGGGGGAUCCUCACACAGCGACACAGACAACAAAUUUUGGUCAUAGCUAUGGGGGUGCAAGUUCCUUCAAAACUGAAGAACUUUCUAUGGAGGCUGGCACAGCAUACGAUACCAACGGCAGGACUUUUGAAUCGCCGCAACAUGUCUACUAGCAGCUCAUGCAUCCUAUGUGGAGAGGAGGAUACUUGACGCCAUGCUCUUCUAAACUGCAUUGUAUCAAGGAGUACGUGGGCGCUUUCAUCAGAAGCAAUCUUGGACGGGAUAAGUACAAACAUCAAUGACAACGCCAAAGACUGGUUAUUCUCCAUGCAAGAAGUUCUCCCUCAACCAGAGUUCAUAAAAUUUGUGGUUACACUCUGGGCUAUUUGGGGUGCACGACCUAAGGCAAUUCACGAGCAGAUAUACAAAAGCCCAUUCGCAACACACUCUUUUGUGCAGUCAUAUCUGAGAGAGUUGGAGGCUAUUAAACAGCCAUCAGCAUCAGUUCCCAGGCCUGGUCCACGGCCGACACACUGGAUACCUCCACCGGAGGGAGCAGCUAAAAUUAACGUGGACGCCGCUGUUGGAAGAGGAGGAAGAUAUGGAGCUGUGGGAGCAAUAUGCAGAGACCGCUCAGGUGCUUUGCUGGGAGCUUCGGCAAUGGUGUUCAUGAGAAUCUCAGACCCAGCUACUCUUGAAUGCUUGGCAAUCAGGGAGUCUCUUUCCCUGGCAGAUGAUCUGUACGAACGGAAGAUUCAAGUUGCUUCAGAUUGCAAGGUGGUCGGAAGAUGUCAGAGAAAGAAACACGACUAUUUAUGGAGCACUCAUACAUGAAAUAUUAGAACAUAAGGCUACUUUUCAAGCUUGUAAUUUUAGUCAUGAAUUUAGGAGCUCGAAUGUCGAGGCUCACAAACUCUCGAAGCAUGCUUUAUCACUUUCAGCUGGCCGACAUGUGUGGUUAGGCCAGCCGGAUGGACUUUCCUUCGUCCGUGUAAACGUUGUGACGAGUUAAUAAAAGCUUCCGAGUUUGUCUCAAAAAAAAACCAAGAAAAAGUAUUUCUAUUUUCCAUGUCCAAUAGCAGAUCCUGGAAUUUCUACAAUAAAUUAGAUAGGUAGCUAAUCUAGUUCCCUAUACAUGAGUCUGUUGUCAUUCUACUGGAAUGAUGAAUACCUUGAGCAGGUAGAACUAGAAAGAAUAACAUGUGUUUAGAAUAACAGGAAAACUACAAACAAAAAUAGUGAAAAUUAGCUCGUUGGAGCCUUUUCCGAAAUUAUUGUAGACCCAACGAAUUGGUAGUUCCCAACCGCGGGUGGAGUGAAAUCCAACAAAAAUCAGUAACUAAACAAAUAACCAUCUAUAUCUAUACCUACUAAUAAAAGAAAUAGGUAUUCUUGGUUCGUCGUUGUUUUUGCAGAAAAACCCUUCACCUUUUUAAGAGCCAACCCGCAAUCCAGAUAAAAGCUCGUCCCAGAAUUUCUGCUCCCUACAUGGGCCGGCCAGUCCCUAGCGUGGGACAAGGUGGGCCUGGUUCGCUUCUUUCGAUAAGAAGGAAAAAUAUAUAUAUGAAGAGCACUCGAACUUGAGAGCUUCACUACCAACCACAACAGAACAACCAACUCACCUAUCAUUUGUUCCGUGUGCAAAACCUGGUCGUUACCUAAUUACCAGUUGCCUAGAAAAUGGAAACUACCAAAAAAAGAAUGCACGUGUCAAUUAAAAAAUCCCGCUAAAUGUGGACAUGACGAUGCCAAUAAAAGUAAAAGACCCAAGAUAAGGAAGGACGUGCAGAAAUUGACUCCAAUUAUAUGGAUUAUGGGCUUUAUUGGAAAAUUAAGUGGGAUUUCGAGAAACCCAAUAAAGGGCCACAUGCACGCCGUAUUUCUUUCCAUGAAAUGGAAUUUUCAUGACAUAAUUGGCCGCAUUUCUUUCCAUCAAAUGGAUUUUCAUGACAUAACUGGCCGCAUUUCUUUCCACUAAAUGGAAUUUUCUUCACGUAAUUGGCUCCCUAAUAAAUGUUAUUAUGCUGAAAGUUAGAUAGCCCAACAAUUAAGUCGCUUUAAAUGGGGAGAAGACCUUGCACCCCAUAAGAAAAAAUAAAAUUAAAAGGCAGCACAACAUCUCCACAUGUUUUUUGGAACAAACAAAAUUUUCCUCAAAAAGUACAAACAUACAAUAAAAUAUAAUAUUAUUUAGAUGUAUAUAUGGGAGUACAAGAUGCGUAACAUGCGUUAGAUGAUAGAUAGGGUUAAUUCGGACUAUAUAGAAAUCAGUGUUGGGAUAUCGAAGUUAUGUAAUCGAAUUUUCUACCCGGUAACAAAAUGGAAAAUUGAAAUUUAUUGUGCUAAAUUUUCAUAGUCUAAUUUUUAAAAUAUCUUUAGGACAUAUUAGUACAUGGUUUGUUCGUUAUUUAAUUUUACAUGUUGUGUUUUCUAGACGCAAAGAUAUUUUUUUAUUCCCGUUGCAACGCACGGGCAUAUUUCCUAGUACAAAGUUAAAAGAAUUACCAGUGAUCUUAAAUACAACUCUAGCUACCAUAUUGUUGGACUAAUCUAACAAUUGAUCCAAGCAUGAACUUGAACGCUUGAAAUUUAGGACAGUAUAACCGGACCUAAAGCGAGCCCUCUCAAUGAUUUGCAUUUCCGAUCAUCCGUUUUCACGAUCCAGGUGUUUCUGCUCUGGAGGCCGAAACGCAGGCCUGUGGUAAACUGGGCCGUCGGCCAGCCCAUUACAGUUCGAGUCCAUCGUGAUGGUAGGCCCACAGAGGAGGAGCGGACUAUUGGAUCUCGUCUAUGAUGGAUAUUGAUGUGGAGGCGCCGGACGACUGCACAUCAGCUUCCGAGUAGUAUCUGGGCAGUGCAUUAUAGCUUUCGAGUAGUAGUAGCAGCAGUGCACAGCGAGGUGCCGCCCUCACCCCUGGCGGCAGGUGCCAGUGCAGGGGGUGCCGCCCUGCCCUUGGCGGCAUGUGCCCACGUGGCAGGGUGCCGCCGGGGUCGGUGCCGCCGUUGCCAGGUGGUCUCUUUUGACAAUGAUUUUCAGAGGUGGUCUCUUUUGAUAAUGAAUUCGUUAAGGUGGUCUCUUUUAACAAAAACUCCCACAGACCUUCACAAUCAACAUUAGAGAAAAAUAAUAUUUUGUGUGUAUAUAUACUUUUCUGACCCGGGUUAAAUUGUGCAGAAAAGCUACUCCAAAACAUCAUUUAACCAGAGAACCACUUAAUGGAUACCUCUCCUUCAGAGAUAUAAGCUAUCUGGUAAAUCCUUCAUCACUAUUUUUGUGCUUCGUAUAUUCUUAGACUGCAUAUGGGGUUGUUGAUCAAAAUGUAUUGGCUGCAUAUGGCAAUGGACUAUUCAGAUCCAAACAUGUACAUCUUCAGAUACAUUUUGAAAGCUAAUCCUAUGCCAAAAUUUUGGAAGUUUCCUUUAGUUUGUCAAAAAAUAUCCCAAGCAUACAUACAAGUUGCAGAGUAAGAGUUCGUUGAGCUAACAGUGCUUCUUAUUUCAAACUGUAGUUAGUUACUAUGGUGAGUGUGCUUUGAGUUUGAUCUUUAUUAACAUUGAAGCCAACAUGCAAACCUAUAAGCACUAGAUAAAUGUUUUAUAUAUGACGAGCGUCUGUAUAUAUUUCUGGGAUGAACAAGUGAGUGGUGAAAAUUCUAUAGGAGUUUGGUCAUAAGACAUCCUCAUUCAUAUCAUAUCAUAUCACAUUACGCCGGCAGACUACUUUAGAAAUUGUAGAUAACUAAGGAGAGGCUACAUAUGAUCAUAUUAUUUAAUCUAGGUACCAUCUAAUAUAUAGGCUUGGCAUCUAACACUACAGAAAACGACACAUCCGUGACAUUUUGGGCCGAACGAUUUUUUUGUCAUACUUAUGACACUUCUAUGACGAUAAUUGUGACAAAACCCGGUAUCAUCAUAGAUGUGGUGGGCUCCUACUUCUAUGACAAAAAUCAUGACAGAAAAUGGGCUUUUCGUCCUGGGCGGGCCGGACACGCAGCUGCAUGACAUUUUUUGGGCCGUCCAUGAUGGAAAAAACCGUGGUAGAAGCGAGUGCGAGGAAAAUAUCGGGGUGUUCCCGGUUACGGUGGAUGGUCGGGGCCGAGCGAUGCAUAAAGGUUUGCGUGUUUCUCUCAUACACGCACACGCGUGGGUGCGAGGCCUUGGACUCUAACUGAACCCGAGCGAGGCGUUCGCCUACUGAACCCGAGCGAUUGCACUGCAGGCUAUGCGUUACUGAACCCGAGCGAUCGAUCGAUGGCUGUUAACUGAACCCGAUCGAGCGAUUCCUUCGCUACUGCUGCUAACUGAAGCCGAUCGAUGCUGCCUCUGGAUGAACAGUGGGCGUUGCUGGGGGAAGGGGGUUGGAUGAACAGUUCCUGGUGGGGGUGGAUGAACAGGACCCCGUGGUGUUGCCUCUGGAUGAACAUGACACUGAUCGAUCGAGCCGGUUGGGGCUGGAUGAACAGGACCCCAUGGAGGUCUGGAUGAACAAGACCACCCCAUGGAGGGCCGGAUGAACAGUAGACGGUGGAUGGAUGGAUGAACAGUAGCCCGUGGAGGGGUGGUUGAACAUGAGCCUGUGGAGAGGGCUGGUUGAAUAAUAGCCGGUGGAGUAGCGCGCGGUGGAGGCUGGAUGAACAGGAGCCCGUGGAUGAACAGUCGCAGGUGGAGGCUGGAGGAGAUCGACGGUGGAUGAACAGUAGCCUGUGGAGGCUGGAGGGGGUCGAUGGUGGAGAUGAACAGUAUCCCGUGGAGUCCCGUUUUGCUGUACGCCACACCCCUCCCGAUGAACAGGACCCCCAUUUCGACCGUAGCGCUCCAACACAAGUCCGUUUUCUCUGUUUUGCGGUACACCCCACCCCUCCCGAUCAACAGGACCCCGUUUCGACCAUUGGAGGUCCAACACAAGUCCGUUUCCUCCGUUUUGCGGUACGCCAGACCCCUCCCGAUGAACAGGAUCCCGUUUCGACCGUGGCCAGUCGAACACAAGGCCGUUUCCUCCGUUCUGCGGUACGCCAGGCCUUGUUUCCAUCAGCUGUUCCAUCCAAGCCCUCCUGAUGAACAUGACGACGCAUUCCGUUCCGACCCAGCCGGUUGGCUCCCUAUGAACACGAUGACGACGCUGUUUCUCUGUUCCGACCCAGCCAUGUACAUGAGCCCUGGCCGUACAUAUGCGCGAGUAGGCGUUCGAGACCCUGCCCGUAUGUACGUAUGUGGCCGUAUUUUCUUUCUUGCACACUGGCCGUUGUACAUACGUGUACAUGCUACGUGCGCGCCUCUACUACGACACAUGUGCGUCUCUACAUGGACCAGUAUGUACGUACAAGUUCGCGACCAGAAUGACAACGCUACGCAUGCUUUGACCAGGUGGGUCCCGACUGUCAGGCACUUCCUUGCGUGCGAAGAAGUAGCUGGUGGGUCCCAGCAGUCAGGGGGGCGAAUCAUUUUUUUGGCCCGGACACACUUCCUUGCGCAAGAUGUCACUGGUAGGUCCUAGCAGUCAGGGGGAAACGUUUUUUUCACGAAAUACGGUUGCCCGUAUGGUGGGUCCCUGCUGUCAGGUGGAGGAAUCAUUAUUUUCCGCGUAAUAAGGAGGCACUUCCUUGCUGCGGUUGUGGACCCAGCUGUCAGCCUCUCCAUGUACAAUCCAUGUCCAAUGGAAGCCGUUCCUUGACCAUGUUGACCACGUCGCGCCGAGAGCACCAGGGUGGUGGACGACGGCGAGGCCUAGGAAGGGGACGACGCGGAGCCGGGGAAGACGCGACAGUGGAUGCCGACACGUAGAGGAGUAUGAUGGUUCACUGGUUCGCUGCAGUGUGAGGCUACCGUCGCCGCAGAAUAACAGGGGGUGUGGGUGAGUAGAGGGAUGGCCUGGCCAGUGAUGGGAGUAGUAGGGGGCGGUGAGGCCUCUGCGGCAUCGCAGCCGGCCACGGGAGGCAGGAGCACGAGGCACGACAGGCGCUGGUUUGGACGGUUGGAGCAAGAAGACCAGAGGUUGAAGAAGCACUACAGCCGUUGGAUGGACAUCGUACGGUCACUGGAGCUAGAAUCGUUCAUAUUGACUAAGUUGACAAA